rnacentral:lncRNA from 1 species
UGGAAGGUAUGCGAAUUGAGGGUCAAAAGAAGUGAAGCUUGCGGAUCCGAUGUCAAAUAUCAAAAUUCCUAACGAGAGAAGGGGAAGGAAGAAGACAAUGGACAAUUUGGUCUAAAGAAACAUAUUGAAGGGGUAAGGGGUAGAUAAUGGCAUAUCUCAAAUAAAAAGCGAAUUGUAAUGGCACAGUUACAAAUAGACGAAUAAUAAUGAUAUAUCUCCGAGACGUGAAAAUUGUAAUGACAUAUAUCCGAUUAACCCUAGAUUUCUUUAUGUUUAUUAUGUCGCAGACUCCGUCAAGCCGUAUUUCAAAAUGAAGUGGUGCAAGGGAAUAUUUUCUUAAUAAUUAUGCUAUCUCUAUCUAGAUUGGAUGGAAUUUUAUUAUUAGAGAUCUCAUUCCACUGGAAUUCAUAUUACAAGGAAACUUGUUUCUAUUUCUUUUAAGGUAUUCAGAAACUGACUUAGAUUCGUAGCAAUGCACAGGCACCUCGGCUAGUAGAUGAAAACUCCAUCUCAAAUGAUGGUACUAAUGUAUACCAUCAAUACUACAUGCUACAUUUUAUUGAAACCAUCUGUAGGAAGGGUGGGGACUUCUACAAGGAGGUAAUCCUAUUUAUGUGGUACAUUAUGCACUUAAUCUAACCAAAAGAAUCACUCAUGUACAAGAUCUCUAAUGCAACCCAGAAGAUGAUAUAUAAUUCCUUCUACCAGCUCAUGAAGCCUCUUAUUACUAUACAUGCUCAAUAACGUUCCUUCCAGGAGCGGGUCAUACAACCUGCCCAGCGAAAGUAAAAUGGUGAGCCUAGUUCAAAGUAAUUGACUGAAUUGUGAAGAACCAAAGCGUUCUUUUUAUGAAAACAUGAGGCUGACCUUAAAAUGUCUCAAUACUGGGAGUAAGAGAAUCUCCCUCGGGCUUCACUUUAAGUUCAGGUUCCUUCCGAGUUAGUUUCAGCGGAACAUCAAGCGCUGGGGGCUCCUGCAAAUCCAAGUUAUGUUGUUUAUUAGUGAUGUAACAAACGAUCAUUAUCUGAGAUACUCUUCAGAAGCUCAAAUUUUUCAGAUCACCAUGCAGCGAAUAAGCGACCAGUAUAUUUCUUCAAAAAAGGGAUGUUGCUUGAUAUCGUUUGCACCAGCACUUGAGCCAAGUCGAGAAGAGGGAUCUCUUUGAAGUAAUCCAUGGAUUAAUUGCUUUGCCGCAAGACUAACCUGGAUAGUGAACAAAUUGUUAAUAAAUCAACACAAUACAUAUUUUGUAGAAUUUAUGUAUCAAACAGCCUAAUAUUUAUGUUACGAAAUACUUUUUUCACAAAACUAUCUCCCUGGAUAGUUUUAAAAUUAGUUCUGCACCUUUUAAAUGUAAAAAGCACACAGGCAAAUGUGUAGGUAAAACAAAAAACAAAAGGUUCUAUUUCUUACCGGAAUGCUACUAGGAAAUGUAAGGUCCUUGUGGAGGAUGUUAUGAAAUGUCUUUUUCCUGUUCUUUCCUCGAAAAGGUGUACGCCCAUACAACAUCUCGUACAAGAGAAUUCCUAUACCAUGGGAAAGUAUUUUAGAACCUCACAGACAAUACCAACCUGCUAAACUAACAGUAUAACACAUGGAACAAGCUCUUGAAAUUGGGAAUACCUUAAUACUACAACUCUUUAUUUGCAUAUUUCUAGUGCCGAUCUAUACAGAUUACAGGAUAUAUAUUUAUACCUUAGAUAUAAAUUAUUCGAUGCACAUAUUAUGCGCACUAUGCUAUGGUAAACCACACCAGCUGCAGACCCUAGGCUGUUUCAUCUGUACUAAUUUUAACUCACAAAUAUUCCAAUACUUUUUUUUCAAAAAAUAUUCCAAUACUCCGUUCAUUACUGCCCAUUUUUGCAUGCAAUUGGAAAAGAAGAAUGUAAGAUCAAAUUAGUUUUGUUUUCAAUCAAUGAUCAUUUCCAUCCAGCUGAACUGAGACUAAAUGACUGAAGUGUUGGGUUGGUGAUGAUAACCACCUUAGAGGGUAUUCUGUAUUGGCAACUAAAGUGAACAUCUUUGGGCAAGAACCAAGUUAUCUGUGGCCAAAGUAUGUUGCAAUACUUCCCUUAUGCAUAAUGAAAUCCUUGUUUAUAAACACAGAACAUAGCAGUGAAGCACUAAGCAGUCAAGUUAUCCGAACUGGUAGGACAGCUAAUUCUCCUGGUGGAAAUCCCAUGUUUCAAGUCUCAUUUCAAACCAUUUGUGUUAUCAUGAUUACUAUCAGAUACUGGGUUAAUCGUACAAUGUGUCACUUCCCUACACCUUUCAGUGAUUACUCUUAUUCCUACUCAGAGGCAACAAACAAAUUCGCCUUUUAAUCCAUGAAUGAGUUUACAGAAUGGAUUCAUCAGCUAGUAUAUUUUAAGAACAGCAUUUCUUAAUGCAUCAUUGCUUACCAAGAGCCCACCAAUCAAUGGCACUUGAAUGUGGUGCACCUGUGAUGACCUCCUAAAAUAACAGAACAGUUACAAGAUAAUUAUGUUAACGUGGUAAAAAAACAACUAAAGUGGUUCAGCUAAAUGUAUAAAAGUUUUAAACAAGUUCAACAGAACCAUACGUUUCAUGAUCAAUGUAUAAAAAGUCCAAGUUAUUCAGCUUGUGGCAUUUGAAACCCCAUAUUUUAAAGUUAAAUUUCACAAAACCUAUUCAUAGAGCAAUGCGCCACCCUUAGACCAUCCAUGCUGAUUGCUUUCUAAACCUAAUUUACUUGUUACAAAUAUUUAAAAAUGGUAUGAAGGUUACCAAACUGCACUUUAACUCUCACUGCAACUUUUUUUUUGACAUGAAACUCUAACUUAGGAGUUCCCCACAGCAUAUAACUCUCACGUUACUCUUCUCUUAUUCUACAAUCAUGAUGAGCACUCCCAUCAUACUUUAAUCCAUAUCACAACAAAUAUCAUGAUUAAUACAAGAAUGUGUAUGUAAGAGGCAUAACUAUUUAUCUUGGAAACCUAAAUCAUCUACUUCAGGAAGGUGAUAACUCAGGAUAAAGUGACAAUCACAUAAAAUUAUUUUAAAAUCAUUACUCUGAUGAAACAGAAAAGAUACACAAGAAACUAAUAAAGCUACAUAUGGGAGCAUUAUAUCAUACAGGAGCUAUGUACUCUUCAGUUCCAACAAAAGAAUUCGAUGGAGUGGCAGGAUCUGAAACAAAACUUGGGGGCAGAAAUUCUUUAGAUCUUCUUCGUCUUGAUGUUGAAUGCUUUAUUACCUGCAAGAGUAUACCAUUACCAAGGUUACAGAUUUGUAUUUUAAAUGCAUAACAAGCUCUCAUGAAAAACAACAAUACAUGAUUGAGGUACCAACAAGCACUCUAAAUUAGCAUGCCAUUGGCACCAAUGUACAGUUUAUCUGUUCUACCCUUCAAAUACUAUGCCAACGGAAACGAAAAGCUCAUCACUCAGGUAUGAAGGCAUUGAUUUAACAUUUGCAAUGCUGGACAUUCUACACAUGGUGAAAUAACACAGUAGACUGAUAAUGAAUUGGAGUAAUGAACAAAAUGUAAAUAUCGAAAUGGCCAUUAAAGCUUUGCUUUCUUGACUUACAUGGGGUUUUGAAGAAGUCAAAAAUGAGAGGUCAAAAUCAGUCAGAACAAUGUGUCCAUCCUCUUGGAGUAAAAUAUUUUCUGGUUUUAGAUCACGAUAUAUAAUUCCUGCAACAGAAACACCAUACAUAAUUAUGAACCCUUGAAAUCAUUUCAAACACAUCCAUUCUAAUCUAAAGAUUAUUCACAAGUUAUCCUGCUUUAAAGGAUAGCAACCAGCACUCAAUUGAUUACAUCUUAUUUUAAAGGAUUUCAGUUACACAUCCUGCCUGGCUGGCUAUUUAUAAGACCCAAGCAGCCACUUUUAGAACAGUCACUAAGAACAGUGAAAUACAAUAAGUUCCUAGUCCCAGUAACAUUUGCAUAAUGCACUUGGGGAAGAGAUUGUCAAAAAUGUUAAACUAAAACUAUAAAACAACAGCAGUACCAAGGGAAUGGAGAUACUCGAGACCAAUUACAACCUCCGCAGCAUAAAACCUGCACAAAAUAUAAAUCAAACAAUUAGCUCAUAUCAAUUAAGAACACGAUUCAUAUGUUGCAAAGAAUCAAAGCUUACGAAUCCAUGCUAAAAGGAGAAAUUAAGAACCAUUAGAAAUACCCUUUAUUAAUUCACUCUCUCCAUUUCAACAUAAACUUUUCCUUUUCAUCUCUACCAUACUCAAGAUGAAAUAUUACCAUUAUUAUCAGGUACAUAUAAGAUCAUGAAAAUAUUUGAGAUGAAGAGUAGGCUAUAUUAAUUAUUUUCCUAAAGAUAAGCUAAUAUUUGUAUCUGACACAAGUAUGGAAGGCACACAUUAAAAUUUUACAUCAGAAUGGCCGUGUUUUACUCAACAAAAUAAUGCAUCGAGUAAUCAAAAUGUGCACUUUCCAACAGCUACCUUGCAGAUUCUUCUCGGAAGAGUUUCAUGGGUUGCCUAUCAAGCAGUGCAAAUAAUUCUCCUCCAGGACAAAAGUCUGUUAUGAGACAAACAUGUGUUGGUGUCUGAAAAAUAGACAAGGAUUAGUAAUGCAUAUACAUUUGAGUUCAAAAGUUAUCUGGGAAAAUAAAAGCACUAAAAUAGCAAACAUGGAGGUAGAUGACCUCCUUACAGAAACCAUAUGCAGCUAAGUUGUGUACCUUUUUCUUUAUUUAGAAACUUUAUUAAAAUGGCUAAGAUAAGACACAGCCACAUAACUCAUAGAACUGACCUGGAAUGAAGUAUAUAAUGUUGGGAGAAACGGAUGAUCCAACAGUGAGUAUAUUUCUCUUUCGAUACAAACUCGAUGAACCUGCAGAUUGCAGAAAUUAAAUGCAGCUUAAUAAUCCAUAUAGAAUGAACAGACUUGAUAUGGAUGUUUAGAAUUGCCCUCUUGCCUCCGGUAUCCACAAAUAUCUUGAUAAAUACUACACAAACUUCCUAAAUAAAUUAAUGUUUUACACUCUUGGAAGAUUUGUGCUACCAUCACAGUAGUAAAGUUUUACCGUCAAAAUUCCCCCUUCAUUCUUUCAGUUUACUAGCUUGAAACACUACCCCUCCCUUCCCGCAGCAGGAGGUAUGCACAUCCACCCAACCAUAUAGACAUAAAACGAUUCGUUCAAUUACUACUUGCAGUAGUCAGUGUGUAAAAGGACACAGAAGACAGAACAUAAUGUCAAAAUUUAGUUUAAGAAAUUACCUUGUUGCGGUUCAACAUCACUGAUUUGUCCAUUGCCUUCAUUGCAAAUAAUUCACCACUGCCUAGCAACUCCACCAGGUGUACACUGGAGAUAAAUAAAAUUGUUAGAUGUAUAUGUACUGUUGGUAUUUCCCCUUUUGUAUUAGGGGGUUUUGUGUAUACUUCCUUCCUAUACCAGUAUAUAUAUAGACCUAGUGCCCCUAUUAUGAAUACAAGUGCUAUUCCUAACAGUUGUAUUUGAUGAAUCUCGUCCUUUCUAUCCUCGUCCUUCUUCUGAUAUUUCCCCUGCAUCUUUAGUUGAUCCACUAUCCUUUUUGAUAUUACCUGAUACUUCUAUUGCUAUCACACCUAUAUCACAGUGGAGGUGGCUCACCCUGUAGUCUCCUUGCCUGUCCAUCGUGCUGAUGUGCUCUCUUCGGAGCCUACUUCUUUGGAGUGUCCUAAUGUGGCUGCUGAUUUUUCUGUGAAGCCACCAGUGACACGUGUAUAUACUCGUCGUGUUCGGACUUCUUCUGAUGUGCCAUCUUCUUCUGAUGUGCCAUUUUCGUCUGAUACGCCAUCUUCUCCUAUUGAAGCCUCUCUUCCAAAGGAUUCCUCUCCUGAGCAGCUUCUUCGUCGUAGUCAUAGUCUUCGUAGACGUCCUGAUUAUUAUUCUCCUACUGCUUAUGCUGCUACUGUUCUUUCGGAGCCGGCAUCUUAUCGUGAUGCUCUUCCUCGUCUGGAAUGGCAGCACGCUAUGGCUGAGGAGCACGCUAUGGCUGAGGAGAUUGCUGCUCUUGAGCGCACUCACACGUGGGAUCUUGUUCCUUGUCCUGCACAUGUGCGCCCUAUUACAUGUAAGUGGGUUUAUAAGGUGAAGACCCGCUCUGAUGGUUCUCUUGAGCGCUAUAAGGCUCAUUUUGUUGCUCGUGGUUUUCAGCAGGAGUAUGGUCGAGACUAUGAUGAGACUUUUGCUCCCAUUGCUCACAUGACCACUGUUCGCACUCUUCUUGUUGUGGCCUCUGUUCGUGAGUGGUUCAUCUCUCAGCUUGAUGUCAAGAAUGCCUUUCUUAAUGAUGAGCUGCGUGAGGAGGUCUAUACGUAGCCGCCGCCUAGUUAUUUUGUUCCUUUGUUCCUGAGGGUAUGGUUUGUCGUCUUCGUCGCUCGCUUUAUGGCCUAAAAUAGGCUCCUUAUGCUUGCCUCUGUGGUCACUGCUGCUGGCUUUUCUGCUAGUGCUCAUGAUCCUGUGCUUUUUGUCCAUACCUCACCACGUGGUCGAACUCUUCUCCUUCUUUAUGUCGAUGAUAUGAUCAUUACUGGAGAUGAGCCUUAGUAUAUCGCCUUUGUCAAGGCCCGUCUCAAUGAGCAGUUUCUUAUGUCUGAUCUUGAUCCUCUUCGUUUCUUUCUUGGGAUUGAGGUUUCUUCUACAUCUGAGGGCUUCUAUCUGUCUCAAGAAAAGUAAAAGUAUAUUCAGGAUCUUCUUGAUCGUGCUUCUCUUAAAUAUCAUCGGACUGUUGAGACUCCCAUGAAACUUAAUGUUCAUCUUCGAGCCACUGAUGGUGAGCCUCUUGAGGAUCCCACUCGUUAUCGUCAUAUUGUUGGGAGUCAUGUUUAUCUUGGUGUUACUCAUCCUGAUAUCUCCUACGUUGUGCAUAUCUUGAGUCAAUUUGUUUCAGCUCCCACUCAUCUUCAUUAUAGUCAUCUUCUUCGUGUCUUAUGUUACCUUCGUGGAACACUUUCACGUCGUCUAUUCUUUCCACGUUCUAACUCCUUAGAUCUCCAGGCAUAUAGUGAUGCUACCUGGGCUAGUGAUCCCUUUGAUCGUCGAUCUUUUUCUGCCUAUUGUGUUUUUCUUGGAGGUUCCCUUAUUGCUUGGAAGACUAAGAAGCAGGUAGCAGUUUCUCGUUCGAGUGCUGAGGCUGAGUUGCGUGCUAUGACGCUUGUGACGGCAAAGGUGACUUGGUUACGGUGGUUGCUUGAGGAUUUUGGUGUUUCAGUUUCUGUGCCGACUCCUCUUUUGUCCGACAGUACAGGUGCUAUCAGUAUUGCCCGUGAUCCGGUGGAGCAUGAGCUUACUAAGCAUAUUGGUGUGGAUGAUUCUUAUACACGAUCACAGGUUCAGGAUGGGGUUAUUGCUCUUCAGUAUGUGCCUUCAGAGUUGCAGUUGGCUGAUUUCUUUACAAAGGCACAGACUCGAGUUCAGCACAGAUUUUAUCUCUCCAAACUCAGUGUUCUUGACCCACCAUGAGUUUGAGGGGAGGUGUUAGAUGUACAUGUACUGUUGGUAUUUUCUCUUUUGUAUUAGGGGGUUUUGUGUAUAUUUCUCCCUUCCUGUACCUGUAUAUAUAUGGGCCUAGUGCCCCUAUUAUGAAUACAAGUGCUAUUCCUAACAAAAACCAAAGAUUGGUAUUGUAACCAUUCUUAAAACAAAGAAAAGUUCAUAAACAAGACCAAGGAACAUGAGGCCUAGGCAUUGUAUUCAGAUGAUGAAAAUCAUAGAUUCUAGCUAGAACAUACAUGACUCAAACAUGACAUAAGCAAAAUCACAAGACUGACCAACUGUCAUCAUUACUAAAUAAAUAUUUUGAAUUGUAUAAUGUUACCUUAAUGGUUUCAUAUAUAUAACAAGAGAACCUCUUCAUAACAGUGGAACAUCAUUAUUUUUUAAAAAAAGUGAAAGAAACCAGUGGAACAAAGACAUUACCGAGGGGUGUGGUUGGGAUUAUCAGUUUGUUUAGGUGGCAAGGCAACUGUCAGAGUUCAUCAAAUAUCAUUUAAUUAUGAUCUAAGGGUAUGAAAUAUGGAUUGAUUUCUAUCCACUUUGCUUUGUAUUGACAUAAUUAACUGGAGAUUUUUCUUGCCAGCAGAAAUUCAGAAAUUAGAACUAAUCAUAAAUAGCUAGUAAAAUGGAGACCUAUAGGGUGAAAAAGAUUAUUAAGGAGAUCUCUGUACCUGCCAGUGUCACCACAACCCAAAGGUUUUACAGGCUUGAAGUGCUUUAAGCCAAUCUUCUCCCCAGAUUUUGUAAUCUGAAGUACCACCAGAAGUUAUUAUGCUACUAUGGAACUGAAAUUGUAAACUCUAUUUUAUAUUUUUGGCAUGCAUAAACCAAUCUGAUGAAUACCAAGUUACAAAAAAAAUCAAGCAUUUUGCGCAUUGAAUAUUUUCUACAUACUCUUAAUAUGUUAAACAUCACAAAAGGAUAUUGCAAGUUCAUGAUAUGGCAAAGAUUCUAUGCAAGAGCAGGCACCAUUGUGCAUAUCUGUAAUGAGAUGGUAUUCAUACUACACAAGCUUAGUUAUGGAAGAAAUUACAAUUUGAAAAAGAUUGAACUGAACCAUUGCAAAGAUGUGUGCAGAUUGUCCAACUUAAUUAUGGAAGAUAUUACAAUUUGAAAAAGGUUGAACUGAACCAUUGCAAAGAUGUGUGCAGAUUGUCAUCCAGCGUUGGACUUUCUUCUGUCCAAUACCUUAAGCAUAAUGGAAAGUAAUCCUAAAGCAGUUUGGUUGAGUGCUACUUGCAUCAUAACCUUAACAAAGAACUGUCCAUAGCAUACCUUUUGUAUCGCUAUCCAAGAAGAGUUGUAUCGUUUGUGAGGUUUUGGAGAAACAGGUUUAGAGUAAGUUGCCCACAGGUCCUCUGGUCUCUGCAAAUACAACAAAGAACUGUCUAAACAAAGCAGACAUCUAAAAUAUUCACAUUAAUUUAAAUUAAACAUUGUGGUUAUGGUUUCUAUUUUAUAAUGUGCUGAGACCAUCUGUAUAGUUCAAUUGUGUGUUGACCUUUACCUUCUCUUCUCAAGCUGCCCCAUCUCAUACUUAUAACUGUCUCUUUGUUAGCAGAACUUGCAUUUUAAUAUAGAGCAUUAACUGGACAUCCAAAAUAGCAAGCUACCGUAUAUUUAUAGGAUUAUAUCGAGCAAGCUUGUGAAUAGUCAGUCACUGGCAUAUGCUUUUGGAAAAUAGUAAACAAAAAAAUAGAUGUACCUUACCACGUUGGGAUCAGGAAGCUCUCUAACUGCUUCAUCCACAUUCUCCGCUGUAGCUUUGACCUAUUUGAAUUUGAUCAUAUUAAUAAUCAGUGUACUUCAAAUUUGGAAGCAAUGGUACAUUUACAUACUUCCGCAAUCAUGAUUAUCAAUCAGCUACAUUUAAGUUGCUUGCUAAUUUCUCAAUUUCCUGGUUUAUUUGUACUAAGUGCUAGUGUAUCACACUCACAUCAAGGAAUUUUGAAGGUUAAUUCAUCCAGAGGAGAAGGAUGUCAUGGACAAUAACCAGCAGAAUAGAAACCAACUGGCUGACACUUUAUUUUUCAUUUUAAUGUUGGCAUCCUGCAGAUCUAGUUUACAUCAUCAAAAAGAAAAAUACAAAAAAAGCUGACCUACCAAUUUAGUGCUUUGUAGCUCAGUGUUUUCAGAGAGACGAUUCCUAAGGGGUUCGACAUGGUCGCUUCCAUCAAGCUGAACACCGAUGAAGUAUUGAAGCUCCCCCUACAUACACAGUAGUACGGAUGAGUAUGAUCACCAUACUGACACGUACAUUGAACAAGCACAAAGCAUGUUCAGAAGAGCAAUGGAUGGGGUCAGUACCUUCUGGUCCCGCAUUGGCUGCAGGUGGAACAAGUUCCAGAACUUCUUCCCUGGUCCAUGACAAUGAAAACAGUGGAAAAAUAUCAGCAUAGUGCAUAGCGCCCACAUCAACCAUACAUACAUUGACUAAACUCCGCAGCAGUAAAAAUGCCAAUUGCUCAUGCUCUGCAGAACUUUUUUUUUUGUCAGGAAAUGCAAAUUGUACCGCUCUUGGUGUAGUUGAUUAGCUGGACCGUUAUCUCCUUCUGCUCUCGGAUGGCCUCCCGGAUCUUGUCGACUGUGGACAUGUCGGUCUCCGGCCCUUGAAGAAAUCUGCAGACAUCAGGAUGAAAUCACUUCACUAAUCCACUCAAAACCAAAGCAGUAGAACCUAGGAAUGUGUUUCUACAAAAAUAAAAUCACUGGGAAGGCAGCGGAGCACAAAUGCAGAGGCGCGCGUAGUCGUAGAACACGUACGCGGAGCACAAAUGCAGAGGCGCGCGUAUUCGUAGAACACGCACCAUAGCACGGGAACAUCUGACGGAACGCGCGGCAAGAACGGCGGAGAGAACUCGCUCCCCGGCACCAGGGGGCAGCCUUUACCCUUGCGCCACGGCCGUGGCGGCCGCCGCGACAAAGAGAACGGCGGGGGCUCGUGAGUCGUGCCCAUCGAAUCCGGGGUCGGAGGUGGUGGAAGCAGUGAUGCACAUACAUGGCCCAUAGCCGGGGGUCGGACGGACGUCGCCGCGCCGUCGCGGGCGACCGCCGCCGGCAUUGAGGCACUGAGGCGGCGCCCUCACCAGAGAAACCCGGCGAGAAAGGGCUGAUGGGCCGUUGGGUUCUGGACUUCAGCCGGAUAGAUGAGCUUGGGCCUAAAUCUUGGCCCGAGUCGACCAACCAUUGUUCAAUAAUUAGAAGCCAAAAGGUCACAUCUUUUUUGUGAUAAUAUAGCGAUUAUUGGCGAGGCAAAAGCCACUCACUAAUUAGAAGCCAAAAAUGUCAUGAGGGUUAUUUUCUGACAAGUUGCUUUGGAGAAGAAAGUAAUUCAUAAAGCCUCCUCCAGCAAGGCCACCUCAGUUAGCUUACAGGAAAUCACCUCAUGACUUUGCUUACGUGAAAGAGAGAGAAGGUGAGAAAAAAGAGUGCAUUAUCUCCUCUUCAAGAGCUAGCUCAUAGAGAGGAAGUGGACUGCACACUUUGUUGGUGAGAGAAGUGUUGCGGGACAAGAUAGUUUGAGCAACGUGCCAUUAGACAAAUCAUUAGGGAGACAAUCUUUUUACCGCCUCUUAUAUGAGGUGGACAACUUUUAAGCUAGUGCACUAACUCAACCAUUGGAGAAAGCCUGACAAGAGCAUGUAGUUUCUCUUGUGCUAACGAUUUUCUUUCAGAGAAACUUUCAAAAUUCUUGUUAGUCUUAAGAAUGCUGAUUAUUAGGAAAGCAAAGACCUGGGACUAGAGUUGGUAAGUGAUAGCCUUGCCUAUGACUUGAUCCUCUGGAUGAAAUUAACAGUUGUAGUUGAAAAGUUACAAAAGGAUACCAUCUCCAAUUCACACACAAUUCUUUGAAUUCACUUGGUCUUUCACCCAAUUGAGUAUCCCCUUAUCCACAUUUCUGCUCCUGUCAAGCCUAUAUCAAUCAAUCAUUUAUUCCCAGAUGCUUUGUCAUUCUUUUUUUUAAUUCUAGUUAUUCCUAUGCGAGUGGCAUGACGAAAAUUUUCCUUUUUGAAUUCUUUUUUAGUAUAUGAAGCAAAAAGAAAGAAAAGAUGGAUAAGGAUUGUAUUCAUUAAUUAUUUCUCUAUUUUUUAUUACUUAAUUUACGAAUUUCAAAAAUUUUGUAUUAUAUUGGAUUCGUUAGAGAAUUCGAAGAAUUACAACAAAAUCUUUAGAAAUCACAUUUUUAGUUAGGAGCUUCUAUGGAUUUUAUUCUUCUUCUUUGGAUCCAAAAUAGAAUAAUAAAAGAAUAGGUAUAAGAAUUAAGUUAAGUCGAUCCAAAAAAUAACCUCAUUUUCUCUACCAAGUUCUCGAGAGGAUAACAUAUACCUUUUCCUUGCAGGCUUUUGGAUGUUGUAUUAGGCACGAGGAUCAAACCGCUUGUCAAAUCAUAGGGGCAUCAAGGACUUUUGUGUUAUGAUGCAAUUAACCAUUUGAUUUGGAUUUAUGGCAAGAUAAGGCAUCCUUGGACCUUUUCUCACCAUCCGGAGGAUUUGCCAAGUUCCUACUUUGCUGAGGGAGACAAGUGCUUCAUUCUCAGCCACAGCUACUGGACUUGGCCUUCUCCAUACCUGAUUUUCUCACAAACUUUAUUGCUUUCAUUAAGAAUGUAUGUUGGCAUUACCAUAACCUUUAAUUUCGUCGUGCUCAACUGUCCUAGUCCUAGCCAUUGAUCGGUUCAACACCCCCACAUUGGCAAUGUGAAAUGGACGAAGAAAGAGGAAGCCAAAGUUUUGAUGAAGUGGAUCGAUUUCCCCCAUGAAAAUUUUGUUGCUUGACAUUUCUGUCAAGUUAGAGGGCACUUGUUGAAUUCCCUAGUAUCUAUUUAGUUUUAGAGUUUGCCUUUGUAUUUCAAUAUCGGGUGGACGGGUUUAAAAAAUGUUUCAACCGAAUGCUGAAAUGUCUUAGGUAAUAAUAGCUAAAACUCAACAGCCGAGCUGAAUGCUUUUCAACUACUACGAUGAUAAAAGUUGAAAUUUUCAAUUGAGGAUUUAUUCUCCUUCAGGAUUUAGGACUUGUUCGGUUUUAGCGGGAAUUGAAAAGGAAUAGAGCCAAUCCCUUACAAAUAUCCUUGAGAAGGGUUAACCGAACAAGCUCUUAUUAGUUGGAUUAAUUCAUUAUUGGUGUCUGCAAAUUUCAUAAAUAAAUUCGUUUUUUUUCAAAAAAAAUGAGCAGUGUGUUUCAUCAUUCAAUUCAACAAGCGAUAACACUUUUGGUACAUAUUAACACACAAAGUUAUUUUUUAAAUAACUUAUGUAUUUUACAAUGGCAUCUAUUUGAGAACGAAUGGACUGGAUUAGUUUCAUGUAGUCCCCUUAAUUGCAAAUAUAUAAAAGUAAAUUUUUGGUUUAUACUGAGUCAAACUAUUUUCAGGUAUGACAAUAAAUUAUUGAAAACACAAAUGAUUUUGCAACAAAAGCUUGAUGCUAAUGGAUUCAUCACGAAAAAUUAUUUUAUAAUGUACUAUUUUUUCUCUAUUUAAAAUAAUAUAUUUUAUAGAAAAAGCUAAUCAAAGUUUCACCUCGCAAAACCGAUUUCCUAAACUGCUUGUAUCUGCGGUAGUAACAUCAGAGGGAGAAGGCAGGAACUAGGAAGGCUAAGCUCCAAUCAAAAGAUGGCAGGUUUGAAUAGUACUAGUAGCAGUGUAGCACAAUUGUUAUGUCGCUGACAGGUGGGGUCCGCUCACCUGCAGUUCCUUCCGAGGAUCUCCUCUCGCGUGUACUCCGUCAGCUCCAGGAAGCUGUCCGACGCGAAGAUCUGCACAAUCCAAGCACUCGACGGUGAGCAAUCACGAGAGGCUCACCAGGUUAGAAAAAUGGCGGGAAAAAAUUGCUUACGAUGGGGUUGUCCGGGAGCCUGGGGUCGGUGAUGACGAAGUUCUUCUCGAUACGCUCCAGCGUGGUGGCCAGGUCGAUCCCCUGCCUGAUGUCCCUCUCCCUCCCCUCUUGCUCCCAGCUGUGCUUGCGCUCCUUCUCCUCCUCUGGCGGCGGCGGCGGCGGCGGCGCCGGCGCCGGCGCCUCCACCGCUGCCAGCGCCUCCUUGCUUCCCACCGAGCUCCUCUUCCCCAUCUUGAACCUGCCAAGAAGCCAUCCAUGCCUGUCAUGUCGCACGGGCCCCGAGUGAGAAACAGCCGCUGCAGCGGAGGCUUGUGAUUUACUGACCCCAUGAGGGAGAUGCGGCCGCUCAUCUUCCUGCUGAGCUUGGAGUCCUCCUUCUUGAGAUCCCAGAGCGGGGACUUGAGGCUGGCGCCGGGGCCGACCAGCGGCGACGCCGGGGCCGGCGGGGGCUCCAUGGGCUCCUCCUCCUGGGAGCGCGCGCGCGGGUCCUUCACCUUCUGCACCACCUCCGUUAUCGACGACAUCGCCGUCUCCUUCUGCCGGUCUGCGGGUUCAUUCCAAGAACAGAGACAUGCAUGAUCAUUAUUGCAGCGGCAUUGGUAUUGGCAUGAAGCCGCCGGCCGGCGAAGACUCACCGUCGUAGUGGAUUAGCGAGACUGGCAGCUCGUUGGGGCGCAUUCGCUUGUCACUGAGCCCCUCCGUGUACUUGCUCACCUCCACUUGCAUCCUGCCACGGAUCAACCAACCAAUCGAAAAUCAAUCAAUCUCAAAUCGAAGCAGAGCCCGACAGAGCACGAGAAGAGCACACGUACCCGAUGAACUUGAUGACCUUGCCGUUGUUGUCGCGGAUGGGGGUGACGGUGAGCAGGUUCCAGAAGGGCGUGCCGUCCUUGCGGUAGUUGAGGAGCCGCCCGCAGAAGCUCCGGCCGGCCUUGACGGCGUCGCGGAUCUUGGCGACCUCGGCCAUGUCGGUGUCGGGGCCCUGCAGGAAGCGGCAGUUGCGGCCGAUGACCUCCUUGGCGGAGUAGCCGGUCAUGGUGUAGAACCCGGCGCUGGCGUAGAUGAUGGGGAUGUCCGGGCGCGUCGCGUCGGAGACGACGAAGGUCUGCUGCAGGCUGGAGAGCGCGUCCUUGAGAUCCUGCGACACCCGCGGCACCGACGACGAGUCCCCCGACGCGCGCGCGCCGUCGAGGGACGACUUGGUGCUGCCCACGCCGCUGUCGCGCCCGGCGCGCUGGAACGACGGCAGCCGGUUGCUGUUGCCGGGGACCGGGGAGGACGACGCCUCCUCCACGAUCUCCAAGCCUCCACCCGACACGGAAAGCGGCAGCGGGAAGGUGAAGCUGCUGGUGGCGGCGCCGGCGCCGGCGUCGGCGGCGCUGCCCGACGGGAACGCCAUCCACUUGUCCACCUUCUCCGACGCCUGCCUCGACGACCCCGCCAUGGAUGCUGCCGGCGCCGCUCCUCCGACCACUCACUACGACGACGAGGCUGUCGCGAUCAACGGCCGCGAACAACCAUCUGCUGAAUCACUGGUUCUGCUGGCAAGAACAAGGAAGGAGGGAAAAAAAAGGAACUUCAAGUAAAAACAAAAAUGGGGUUGAAUGAAAUCGAUCCCGGGCAAAUUUGUGGCGAGGAAGACAGAAACAGCAAAAAUCUAGCGGGACGUUUUUGUCUGAGGAGCGAGGAACAGCUGGGGAACUUUUGAACUGGAUUUACUAGCUGCCUAACCCGACAGGCACAGUAGCAGAGCAAGCAACGUCUCGCUACCUCUCACUGUUGCAUUAUCCACCAUCCAGAGCAGGCCAAUGGAACCACUUCUAUUUGUAGCUAUGGAGCACUUUAUUGCCAGGAGUAGGGUGUGUAGCAGCAAAGGAAGGACAGUAGGUCAAGCACAUAAAAGGAAAGUGCACGGACAAUCUAGUAGGAGUAGUAGGCAAUCCAGCAGGUGGUAGAUGAGAUCAGAACAGGUGGCAAUUUCCUUUUGGAUACGAAAUGAUACGAAACCACCUGAUGCAGAUGCAGGUAGAGAGAGAGAGUGAGAAAGCUUUUUUCUACCUGAACUUGCAGUCGGCAGGCCAAUGAGGAUCCGGCUGGCUGGCUGAGGCGCCGGAGAGCGGAGGGCAGCAAGCACGUAGGCGACCGAGACAAGACAGAGCGAGCAAGAGGAGGAGCAGCUCGCCCGGCCGGAGGACAAAAAAAGAAUGGCCGGUGGAGCAGGGCAGGCACGGCGGAAGCGAGCGGAUAAUGCAAUCCGGCCCGUGAGCGACUCACGGUCGUCCCGCCCCCGGCCCUCCACCGGUUGGGUUGGUUUCCGUGGCCUCGCGAGGGCCACCGGUCGCCGCCCUCGCCCCCGCGGCCGGCACGGCACCACGCCGGGGGCCCGAUCGUGGCCGCACGCGACGCAUCCUACGGCCCGCCGCUGCUGCUGGUUGCCGGGGUGGGGGGACGCGGGCCCGGCGGGCGACGGCGACGGCGACGCGGGAGGGGGAAGAAGAAGAUCUUUUGGGGGCCGGCGUGCGGCCACGGAUGGUCGUACGGCCGUCGCUGUCGCGAGGCGGCAGGUUCCGAUGACCACGACGCCAACGGUUACAGCGGGGAAUCGACGCGGCUGCCGGGAACAGGAACCGCGAAGUGGAGGAGCAGUCCCUCAUGCUGGCUCGUGAAAAACCGGCCUCUCUUUUAUGUUUCCACUCAAUAGAAGCCCAUGCAACGUCCCUCUCUCACACACAUUGGCACGUCUCCUGCAACAUAGGAGUAGAGGAAUAUAUGUCAUCUGGACAAUGGCACGUCUCCAUGAUACAAGUACAUGCUUAGUUUCGAUAGAAGAGGAUUGGAAGGGAACGAAGAGGAUUAGGUCUAAAAUGAAGUAAUUUUCUCUCCAAUCCCUUCCAUUCCACUUCAAUCCAUAAGUAUCCGAACAAGAUCUUAAUUUGUAGCAAUAUAUAAAUUACGACGACAUGGCGGUCCUUUUCAAUUAAAAUUGCUACCUUUCAAAACCGGCACGAUCUAGAGCCGAAGCACGACAUGAAUUGGUACUUGAAGUUUAAUUAGUUGAUACCUUGACUUAAUACCACAAUUCCGAUGGGUGUUUGUCGUUGAAAAAGGGUAUUUGCUCCGGUGGUCCUCUUUUAAAAAAGCGCACAGAUUUUAAAGCCAACAAACAUCUUAGGUACUCCUUCCAUUCCAAAUUAUAAGUCAUUCCAACUUUCUUGAAGAAUCAAACCAUUUUAUGUUUGACCAAAAUUAUAGAGAGUAUCACAAAUAUUUAUGGCACCGAAUAAAUAUACUAUGAAAAUAUAUGUAAUGAAGAAGCUAAUGGUACUUAUUUGGUAUCAUGAAUAUUAGUAUUUUAUUGUAUAAAUUUGGUCAAAGUUGAGAUGCUUUGACUCUCCAAGAAAAUUGGAAUGACUUGUAAUUUGGAAUGGAAGGAGUAAUUACGUAACCUUUAGCAACAGACGCAUCAUCAGGAAUGUGUGCCUAAUUCUCUACUCUAGAUUAGGAACAGACGCAUUCUAUAUAUGGUUCUAGAAGAACUUAAAUCUUCUAUCGAGUAGUGCAUAUCAGGAAGGACGAAAGGAUCUGUGUUUGGUCGAAUUGAUUUGUCACCAAGCAUAGAGAACAACCCCAAGAUCUGUGACAUCUUGUAGAAAGACAAGAUCCAUGAAAGAUCCAUGGAGAGAAAUAUUAAUAUCGAGUAGUGCAUAUCAAUGAAGACAAGAUCCAUGGAGAGGGAUUCAGCCCUCGGUAGAAAGAGAAAUGGGGUCGCUGAUAAAAAAAAAGAUCAAGUUGCCCUUUAAAUAUUAAGUAAUUAUUUUAAUGUUUAUCUGCUUUAAGAUCCGCACAUUUUCUAAAAGAGGAUCACCGGAGCAGUUCUAAAAAAAUGUAAAAAAUAAAAAUAAUGAGAAUAUAUUUGUAUCAAAUGCAUUGGUUCCAACAUCAAUUUCGAAAGAACAAUGCAGGUGACUAUUUGCACCGUGCCGUUGGUCAAGCAGCUCCAUGUACGUGUUCCGUUGUGACAUACACUGCUGGUAAACAGAGACGGCAGACGGCCAUGAUUGUAAAUGAUCAGGUUUGUGUUGCAGAGGUUCUGCCAUGUACAACUUCUCUGUGCCAAGUAUAAUUCAUCAAGGAGUAGCUUCACCUUCUUGGCCCAAACGAGACACAUAGGGGCACCCGUUCAAGGUCUGAAUGUAUAUGCUCCUCAGUCCCUGUUCCGAUGUAAUUGUCACUUUAUUGACGUUGUCAUCUAUCUCCGGAGCGGAUGUUUGUUUUGCUUACCUAUCGAUAUUUCUCUUCACUUCAAUUUCUUCUCAGAUUUGUUGAUCUUUGUUGGGUACAGAGGAAACAUGGGGUGACACAAAAGCUUUGAAUGAUGAAUUUGGAUUCUGAGUUUUGACUCGAUAUAAAAUGUAUAGAUAGUCUUGGUCAAACUUUAAGAAUUGAAAUCCUUUUGUGUAUACGUUUACAUAGAGAACUGACCUUUCGUCCAACCCGGAUAAAAUCGGACCCGUGGCUAAAGAGGCUUUAGUCCGGGAUCAAAUACCAAUCGAGAUUAAAGGAUCCCCAUGAGUGGCUGAAAAAGACUAAAACCCUCGAACUCCCCACGAGUUAAUACAAAAGGAUUGCAUCCCCUAUAUAGUUAGAUGUACCGUGUAUGUGGGAUGGUAAGGAAGCUACGCGCGAGGCUUGAGAUCGUGGGUUCGAAUCCCCGCGCACGCGCAUGUUUCACGUGAAAAAUCGCAUGAAUUGCGACGCGUGUGGGGGGAGGGGAGAGGCCUCCUAGGGAUUUUUUUUUCGCAAAACCAUUUAGUCCUGGGGGCUGUGCCUAGCGUGGCGACCGCUUUAAUUAGUCCUCAUUGAGCGAUCCGGGACUAAAGAUCUCCCUUUCGUCUCGAUUACUUUAUCCUGGAUGGAUUUUUAGAAGAUUUGUCCUCUACCAAUUGGGACUAAAGGUGAGUUUUGUACCAGUAAAAAAUCCAGAAACAAGCUACCUUGUGUGCAGAAGAAUCAGGUGCAUUCCACGAAGAAAUGAUUAGAAAUUUCCAGGAACCAUCUUUUCAGACGGAACACUCAGGAUCUUGCUUCAGGACUAGGUUGUAAUAAAAGGCAGCUUUUCUCCGACAGGUAGCUUUUGAAAAAAAUCUUUUCCCUAACGGCCGUAUGGAGGAGUCAAGAAACUUCAAUUCUUUGUUGGCAUUCUAUAUCGAGGGCACCUUUUUUUAUAGCCGCAGUGACCAUCCCGCAAGAAUACCUGAAACCGAAUGCUCAGAAAAAAACCACGAAAAUUUUCGUACAGAUGUAAUUUCUCAUUCUGCCGUAGUAAAGCGCAUACUUUAGCUGAAAAUGUGAGGAAAAAAAACUCUUUUUCCUAAGUCUUUAUGUACGGGGUAGGACCGGAUAAGAGAUUAGGUAGGGUGAGGGGGAGCAUUCAAGUCUUUUUCGCAAUCCGCUGGUGGGCAUUACCACAUUAACUCCUUUCUACCAGCAAAUGAGCUACCACAUUUUUAGGAUUUCGCUAAAAUUUAGCUCAGUCAUUUGCUUCUUAAACAGAUGUUUUCACGAGUUGUGCUCUUUGUAUACAAUAUGAUUUUUUACUAAAUCCCUACCGUAAAAUUGAUACCCCUUUAAGAGGCCACAAUACAAGGAGACUCUACGUACAAGGUGAUCCCAAGUUAGCCCACUCUACCCUUCACCGUAGGGUAUUGAACUGUAAACUUUUUGACCCAAAGUUAUGCAUUAAAACUAGCCUGGCUAGCCUUUUUUGCAUUACGCUCGCUAGUAGUACAACUCAUGCAACCAAGCAUGGUUGGGGGCUGACGAGCCACCCAACGACAUACACAUAUAUUCUUUAACCCGAAGUUUUGCCAAAACUAAAUCCGGAUAAACUAAGAUUUGUUUGCGAUCUAAUAACUUGAAGCUUAUCUUUCAAAAAAGAAGACUUAAAUUUUGCUCGAGGGAGUAAGGCACUAUUUUUGGCACAACUCCAGCUUCAAGAUCCAUGUCGGAUCUGUAAUUUGAAGACUAAAAUAAAGUGGUUUAGACAUCGAUAUUUUAGUUCAAAAUAUAGAUAAAAUGAUUAAUCUAAAUGCUUCCGAUGCACCCUGCAUACAAAGUUCCAGUUCUAGGAUGUUUUUAGCUAUCGGACCUAUUUGGCUCAGCUCCAGCUUCAAGAUGCAGGUUGGACUUGUACUUUAAAGACUAACAUUAAGUGAAUUAAAUAUCUAUAUUUAAUCUAAACUGUGAUAAAAUAUUGUUCCAGAAUUUUUUAGAACUACUGGUAUCUAGCUGCAAGUGAUCCAAAAGGUUUAUAAAACUAUAGCUCUGCCAACAGGGACGUAGUUUAAGUGAUUUAAAAGAUUUCUAGAACUGAAAUAGUUAAUGAAUCCAAACAAGAAAAAAACACAUUCAAGCUAAUACUCCCUCCGUCCCAAAUUACUAUUUGUUUUGGUUUUUCUACGUACAUAGUCUUCCAUAUGCACCUAGAUAUAUAUUGUGUCCAGAUACACAGCAAAAACUAUGUAUCUGGAGAAGUUAAAAUGAAUAGUAAUUUGGAGCGGAGAUAGUAAAUUUCUUGAAGAAAAAAAAGCUAAGCAUUAUUUCCACCACAAUGAAACCCAAAUCGGUGAGUAACUCCAAGAGUCUCCCAAAAAUCCUUCCCCAAAACUAUCUAUUGGGGACUCUACUAAACUUUUCCCCCAAAAUCAUGUCAUGCCACAGUAGUCCCCAAUAAUAAACUUCCCAAUACUUCAAAACUGACCAUGCCAGCGCGUGUGGGCCUCAUAUCCGACGUCCAAAGUCCAUCCAGCGGUUGCUAUUUGUUGACUAUCUCAGGUCUUAUCCUUUCACCAGAAACAUAGGGCCGCCGCCGGGAGGCAACUCAGGCAACCAGCAGCGCUGGCCAAUUCCCUCACCACCACUCAACAAUUCGCACUAAAAAUUAGUAAAAUCGAUUGCCCAUGCUCUCCUCUUCUCUCACGUGCUCUCAAUUUUAUUAGAGAUGGAUUAAUUUGCUCUUGGAUGUGGCUGUUUGCCGUUGGGAAGGCAGCGUUCGUAGCAUCGCAGCAUCCGCGGCGCCCGUAGCGGCGACGGCCCGUCCCCCACCUCGUCACCAUUGAUGGUGCUGCUGUCGCCGUCGCACAGGAAGCUUCGGAUGACCGCAAGCCCCGGGCCGCGCAUAUCACCCUCCCAGGAGAUCGACUUCGUGACGGGGCCCACGCCGUGGAGGCAGGCGCGGAUGGUGGCGGACACGUCCAUGCGGUGGAUGGGCCAGCCUCAGUCGUUGGCCAUGCAGUGGAUCUUCGAGACGUAGCCGCCAGGUCCCGCGUGUUGGCCUUGAUGUCGUCGAUCACAACGUGGAAGCUCCUGCGGCUCGCGAAAUAGUCGCCUAGGGCGAUGGGGGAAGACUGGGGGUGGCGGAUAUAUGCGGGACGACGAGAGUAUUUGCGACGCUGAAUAUUUGCGGGAUGUUGGGGGAGUUGUUGGAGCUUGUUUUUUUUCUUUUUCUUCCUAAUUGAAGUAUUGAGGUUAAUAAAAAGGAACUCUUGAAGUGGUAGAGUCCCCUAAACUUAGGGUUUCCUGUCCUCUGGCGGCGACGCCGGAGUCAAAAACAUCUCACGCCGAGAUCGACGUGAUCCAACCUACAGAUCCCGACGUCGUUCUCCUGGCUUUCUCCUGCGUGUCGAGGGAGCGGGAGACGGAGUCUGGUAUGGAGGAACCAAUGUCAAGCGAGAAGGGGAAGGGGAAGGCUACAGAUGAUGGGGGAGGAGUGGCAUCGUUGGAGAAGCACCUGGGAGAGAUGAAAUUACAAGGGGAGGAAGAAGAAGAUCUUGAUUUCUCUGGAGAACUCGAGGAUCUGGUGAAAGAAGUUCGAUGGAUUGCCCUGUUUAGGGUUCACACAACGAAGCCUUUCAGCCAUGCAGCUUUAUUCAGCGCGUUGAGGAACGCGUGGGCGGCAGCGAAGGAGGUGACCUUCAAGGCACGGGAACCGAAUCUGUUCGUAGUCCAGUUCCACUGCCUCGGCGAUUGGACGAGAGUCAUGGAGGGGAGGCCUUGGCUGUUUAGAGGUGCAGCCAUAGUUAUGGAAGAAUAUGAUGGCUAUUCAAAUGUGAAUUCAUAUAAUCUAGACAAGAUCCCAAUCUGGGCACGAAUUCAUGGUGUCCCGGAGAUGUUGAUGAAGAAAAAAGAGCUAGCUGAGAAGGUCGCAAAAAAAGUGGGGGAAAUCAUCACGCUUUUGGUGAAUGACGGAAAAAUCAAUGCCACUCCGUAUUUGCGCACGAGGGUUUGGAUCGAUCUGAAGAAACCUUUAGUUCGAGUGGUGCCGAUAACUCUCAAGGAACGGAUGAUGUGCCUGGUACAGUAUGAAAAAUUACCAAACUUCUGUUUCUUUUGUGGUUGCUUAGGCCAUGAGGUUACAGAAUGUGAAGAUGGUGUCCAUCCAAAAGAAACGUGUGAUUGGGGGGAUUGGUUGAGAGUUCCGUUUAUGACAGUAACAAUGUUGAGGGAUGACCGUGGAGGACGCAGUGGUGGGAGAGGGAGAGGUAGAGGCAGAGGUUUUGGCCGCGGGAGGGGGAUGGAGUCUGGACCGGAUGACAUGGACUUACCGGAAGAAACAGAAGUAGAUGCAGAAGAUAAUCAAGUGCACAUAAGGACAGGGGGGGCUCCGGUGCAAGCACAGUUGUUGGAGUACCCAACUACGAAGGACGGUGCCAUUAGUCCGAUAGCAGAACAAGAAAAGAAAAGGCCAAGGAGGAGUGAAGAUGGUGGGGAGGUGAACCAGGAUAACCCAAAUGCAAGAUCGGCGCUCUCCUUCGAGGAGAGUGACCGGGCACAAUGAAAAUCUUGGCCUGGAACUGCCAGGGCCUUGCUAGCGCCCGGGCAGUUCGUGCGCUUCUGGAAAUCCAGGAGCGGGAGAGACCAGAUGUGUUUUUCCUGUCUGAAACACAUUUGGGUAGAGUGAAGGCAGAAAAGUUGAAGCGAAAAUUGGGUUGUGAUCACUUUUUAAUUAAUGAAAGUGAUGGCCGAAGUGGUGGCUUGCUCAUGUUGUGGAGGAAGGAGACUGUGAUUCAGUGUAAAGGUGUUUCUCAGUAUUUCAUUGACGUGGAGAUUAGAGGUAAUGUGGUGUGGAGAUUAACGGGUUUUUAUGGAGAGCCGAGAUGGGAUCAUAAACAUGUGACAUGGGAGACUUUACAGUCUUUGCAUGAUAACACGUCUAUUCCUUGGCUGGCUAUAGGAGAUUUCAAUGAGAUCCUUUUCCACCAUGAAAAGGAAGGAGGUAGAACUAGAUCACAAGCUCAGUUGCAAGCAUUCCAGGAUUCUCUUAUGGAAUGCGAGCUAGCGGAUAUUGGUUUUGUGGGUGAUAUUUUUACUUGGCAACGGGGGAGAAUCAGAGAGAGGUUGGAUCGAGGAGUGGCAAAUGCACAAUGGAAUAUUUCGUUUCUAGAUGCUCAACUAAAAAACGGAGAGAUGGUAAAAUCUGACCAUCGUCCUCUUAUUGUUGACACAGAUGGCGCCUCUGUCCAGUUCCUCCAGGAAGAAAGACCAAGGAGAUUUGAAGCAAGGUGGUUAAAAGAGGAAACAGUGGAGGAAAUAGUACACGCAGCAUGGGUACGGGCUGCGGUGCAGGGUAAUGGCCCAAGCUUGAUGGCGAAGGUGAAUGCAGUACACGAUGAUUUACAUGUUUGGGAUCAGGAGGUUCUGAAGAAACCUGUUUACCGUAUGAAAAAACUAAAAAGGGAGCUUGAAAAAGUGAGACGCGGUCCGCUAACAGAUGAAUCAAUAGCAGCACAAAAGGAGAUUCUCUUGCGGCUUGAACUUUUAUUAGAACAGGAAGAAAUCUUUUGGGUACAAAGAGCCAGGGCGAAUUGGCUUAAGCAUGGAGAUCGUAAUACAAAUUUUUUCCACCACUAUGCAUCGACUCGGAGGAGGAAAAAUUUUGUUAAGGGAUUAGUUGAUGAGCUUGGGGUAAGACAUGAGGAUGCCGGAGAGAUGAAGAUGAUGGUUAAAGAUUUUUUUUACUGAUCUCUUUACAUCUGAAGUGCAUGAUGUUGAUCAGGGAGUUCUUGGGGAUAUGAAUUGCAGGGUAACGGCUGAUAUGAAUCAACUUCUUCUCGCUCCUUUCUCUAGGGAGGAGGUGAAGAAAGCUCUUUUCAGUAUUGGUGACCUUAAAGCCCCCGGACCUGAUGGUUUACAUGCAAUUUUUUUCAAGCGUUUCUGGAAUAUGUUGGGAGAGGAACUGACUGAUGAAGUGUUGCAAGCAGUGAACAACUCAAAUAUCCCAGAUGGAUGGAAUGACACUACAAUUGUGUUGAUCCCGAAGGUGGAGAACCCAGAUAAAGUUGGUCAAUUCAGACCAAUUUCCCUAUGCAAUGUGGUCUAUAAGGUAAUAUCAAAGAUUUUAUCAAGUAGACUAAAAUUGAUUUUACCAGAUAUUAUAAGUGACCAUCAAAGUGCUUUUGUUCCGGGGAGGUUGAUUACUGACAAUAUUUUAUUAGCAUAUGAGUGCAUACAUUCAAUGAAAAGGAAGAAGGGGAAUAGGGGAUUAUGUGCUGUAAAAUUGGAUAUGCAUAAAGCAUAUGACAGAGUAGAGUGGGUUUUUCUUGAGAAAAUGAUGUUGAAACUCGGAUUUCACCAAAGAUGGGUAAAGAUGAUUAUGGCCUGUGUUACAUCGGUCAAGUACAGGGUCCGAUUCAAUGCGAUGGAAACUGAUAAUAUUAUACCUACAAGGGGUCUGAGGCAAGGUGAUCCAUUGUCACCAUAUCUUUUCCUGAUAGUGGCAGAAGGUUUAUCAUGUAUGUUGAAGGGUGCUGAAGAAAGAGGGGAGUUGGAGGGGGUUAAGGUGUGCAGGGCAGCCCCGGUUAUUUCACAUCUGCUCUUUGCAGAUGAUUCGCUCAUUCUAAUGCAUGCCGACAAGAAGAACGCAGAUUGUCUAACUGAUAUUUUAAACAGAUAUUGUGCUAAUUCAGGGCAGAAAGUUAGUGAAGCAAAAUCAAGUAUUUUUUUCUCAAACAAUACCAAUGUUGAUGUCAAAGAGGAGGUCUGUGAAGCUCUGAAUAUUAUGACUGAAUCCCUCAAUGAUAAAUAUUUGGGUUUACCGGCGAUGGUGGGGGCAGACCGUUCUGACUGCUUCCAUCAUUUGGUUGAUCGAGUGAACUCUAGAAUAAAUGGGUGGAAGGAGAAGCUUCUUAGUAUGGGUGGUAAGGAGAUCCUGAUAAAAUCUAUUGCUCAAGCUAUCCCAGUGUAUGCGAUGAUGGUGUUUAAAAUUCCUAAUAAAAUCUGCAAAGGAAUAAGCAAUGCCAUUUCGCAAUACUGGUGGGGGGAUGACAAUGAUAAAAACAGGAUGCAUUGGCAAGAAUGGUGGAAAAUGUGCAUGCCUAAAGGCUCGGGUGGAAUGGGGUUCAGAGAUAUUCAAUCUUUCAACCUGGCAAUGUUGGCUAAACAAGUGUGGAGACUGCUGAGAGAGCCUGAUUCAUUAUGUGCUAGGGUACUAAGAUCUCGUUACUAUCCGGAUGGAAAGUUACUAAAUGCAAAGAGGAAAAGUGGUAGCUCUUAUACUUGGCAGAGUAUCUUAGCAGGCCUUGACUGUUUUAAGCUUGGUUACAUCUGGAGGGUUGGAGAUGGUACACAGAUCAACAUCUGGAAAGAUAAUUGGAUACCGGGCAGCCAUGACAUGAAAGCUCAGACACGAAGAGGGAAUAACCUAGUAACCUCAGUAGAUGAGCUUAUCAACCCAAUGACUGCAUCUUGGGAUGAGGAUCUGGUACGUGCUAUACUUGAGAAUGAUGCAAAUCGUAUAUUACAGAUCCCCAUUACGACAGGAAGAGAUGACUGUGUUGCCUGGCAUUAUAACAGAAAUGGCCUGUUCUCUGUGAGAUCAGCAUAUCAUUGUCAAUGGAAGAAGAAAUUUGGAGCUCGUUGUGCAGCUAUGCAAGGUAGCGGCACUAGUAAUCGCCAGGUCUGGAAAAAACUUUGGAAACUCCAAGUGCCAGGGAAAGUUAAAAUUUUUGGCUGGAGAGCUCUCCGAGGUUUCAUGCCGUGCAAUGCGAUCUUGGCAAACAGGCACGUCAUACCUGACGGUGGGUGUCCGGUGUGUCGUAAUGGUGCAGAAGAUAUAAAACAUCUGAUGUUCACGUGUGAUCGAGCCAGAACAGUUUGGAGGUCCAUUGGCAUCUGGGAGAAAAUCAGAACGUCUAUACAAUCUGACCGAUCAGGUUCUAUUUUGAUUGAGAAUAUUAUUAACAGAGGUGAGCAGAUUCAUAGCCUGGAAGUGGGACUCGCUGAGCUUAUUCUGACUGGAGGAUGGUACCUGUGGUGGGAAAGACGGCAGCUAACGCAUGGUGAGGCAGUUCAGCCUCCAUCAAGAUCAGGCCUAGCUGUUGUUUCAUUAACAAAGAAUUAUAAGCUAGCUAUGAAGAUAGGUAUCAAGCUACGAGAAGGAUGGAAGAAGCCUAGUGAAGGGUAUAUUAUGCUGAAUAUUGAUGCUUCUUUUGACGAGGACAGGGGAUGUGGUAGUACGGGUGCAAUUAUCAGAGACAGCUCUGGAGGGAUGAUUGCAGCUUCAAAUGCUUUUAUCCCAUAUCUAGUAGAUGCACCAAUGGCUGAAGCUUUUGCUCUAAAGGAGGGACUAAUGUUAGCUCAACAUAUUGGGGGUAAUAAGCUGAUUGUUCAAACUGAUUGUAUGGAGGUCGUUGAGAUUAUGGAGAAUGCGGGAUUCACUGCGAAUUCAGCUGCUGCAGUUUACGAUGAAUGCAAUAUAGUUUGGAGUGGAUUCCAAGAGAUCUCCAUUGAGCACUUGAGUAGGGAAGCAAAUCAAGUGGCGCAUGAGCUAGCUAGACAUGCUAUGAUUUCUAGAGUAAAUUGUACUUGGGACGAUGAUCCCCUGGUUUUAUUGUUCAGCUCCUAUCAAACGAUGUAACUAUAUUUGAUCAAUAAAGCUUGCCCAAGGGCUUUUAACAAAAAAAAAAGGAACUCUUGAAGUUACUCUAAAUGCGACAGCCAGCCAACCACUUAGCUUUGUCUCGAUGGAUCCGAUGCACGCAAGGACCCCACUAAUCUGCUUGUGAGCAGCAAUAAGAUCGAGCUGGACCAGAUGGACGCAGUGUCAUAUCAUCACGUGCACGAUUAUAUAUUUUGUUUAUAUAAGUAUAUAUGCUGUAUGUGACAUAUUAUCUCUCUCAUGGGACCAACCAGACGCGAUGGACGAUGGCGCCCGCCUAGCCUUAGCUUUUGUUAUUACCUGCGAAUCUGCGAUAGCAUGGUUACAUGGCUCCAAAGCUCUGCUACAGUGGCGUCGCUCUCGCGUACAGCGCGGCACGCGAGAUGCCUUGCAGCCGUUGUGUGUGUGCCAAGUGGCCGCCGGCUAGCCAGGUAAGCGCAUUAUUGACGUCGACGCAUCGCCCGCUCUCGCCACAGGUGGCUUAUUCCGGUCCCUUGGCGACAUGCUGGCAUAUCUACAAACUAGGGGUAUCCAUGUUCACUGCAAGAGAGAUCCACAACUGCAAGCACGUAACUGGCUGAGACGACAGGUUGAAGUUCUGGCUACAAUGUUUUAGUUACACAAUUAUUAUUCUAUUUUUCCGAGCAACUUCUCCUUUUUUUACAAGGAAAAUACCUUCUAUUAACCAGAGGCCAAUUUUUGCGCUGUUCUAUAGCCUGAUGUAAAAAAUUGGCCUCUGCUCCUGUACUUGCAAGUUUGUCUGCGACUUUAUUACUAAAUCGCGGACAGUACACUGCUCGUGCAUCAAUACAAUAUGUGAACAUGGCAAGUUUUUAUUUCCCGAAAGAGAACCUCGAUCAAAAUGUUGCGAAAGCAGAGCCAUCUUCUGGGUAGUAGCGUUAGUCUCUACCACAAUUCUGCCCAAGCCUACUUCUGCUGACUAGUUCAGAGCUUGCAAAUUAAGGUGCCUUAGCUUCAGCGUAAAGAGCGUUUCUGAUGUGAUCCAGUCCCCAUUGCUUUAAUUUCCAUUCGUGAAAGACUACAUCAGUGUUCAUCUUUAGACACUCAUUUAUUCGGAGGGCCAUGCCCAUUUUGCAUAGCAUUAGGCAUAUUGAAAAGCACCUCAUGUUUCUUCAGUAUAAGUUCAAGAAUUCAGUGUUGUCCCUUUUGUUACCCCUCGAUAUGCGCAGCAGCUCCGGAUCUAGAAAGUAUAUUGCGAGUAUGGCACGAGCUUGCACCAUAUAAGAACAACGUAUAUGAAUCUUGUAGAAAACUCAAAUGAUGGCAUUGAAGCAACCACAAUAAAAGAAUAAGAUUUUGGCGAAGCUGACCGCGGAUUCUUUAAGCACACCUUCCGAAAGAGUAUAGGUGAUUGUCGCUCCCUCACAACCCUACUUGACCCUUUAGGACCAUCCGAUUCUUGCUCUAUACAAGAAUCUAGUGCUAUAUAAUUAUUUAGCCUAUCCCUCUCAAGCGCUCCUAAUUGCCUCUCACAAAUCUUGGAUGAUAUCUUAGUGUUUGCCUUUGGCUUGAUUUAUUUCUAUAGGCUCCACCCCCUUGUUUAUAUACUCCCCUCCAAGACCUUAAUACAUGCAAGUAAGAGUAGGUAUAGGAUUCAACGCUCAAGUCCUAGUAGAACUACAAGUCCUAGUAGCACACCCCUAUGGAAUCCCGAUCCAAGUAGGAUUUGAGUCACCAUACAACAAUUUUCACCUUGACUCUAAUCCUUUAAAGUCAUCAUGCUCCUUUAAGAAUUCACUCCAAAUCAGCUUUUUUUAUUUUUUAUAUUCCUACCACUGGAGUGCCCCUACCACAGGGGCUCGUACACAUCACUGUGCUGUGUGUGUAAGUGUCCAAGCUGGAGUAUCUGGACCCUCCACUUGAGAGCUCCUUCGCUAUGUAGUUUGGUUAACCACACCGCCUUCUCCUACAACCCUCCAUGCCAUAGGUUUGUACCGCCUCCGAGCUCCACCUACUCGUUAGUACUGCGUGGUUGGUCCCACCACGUCUUCCUCCUUCCAAUAGCUCACAGCUUCACCUCUACGGCUGUUUGGUUUUGCAACCACCUUUGCAGCAUUGCACUUGACUGCAAAUGAGAUUUGAGUACCGGUUGUUGAUGAGAUGACUUCCUUCUCCUGAUCAGGAUUUUUAACAAAUCUCCCAAUGGUUGCACCACCUUUAAGAUUUCCUAUCACUCGGUAUCCUCCAUGAAUCCAGAUAUUUUCAUGAUCACUCGUCCUUUGCUAUUAACUCGCAUAACUCCACCUUGAAGUGAUAAGCCACAACCUUGGAGUUCUAGCGAUCUCACAGAUAUUAGAUUCUUUUUCAAACCCUGGAUAUACUGAAUUCCCGUCAGUGUGCAAUAUAUUCCAUUAUGCAUCUCCAACGUAAUUGUUACCAUCUCAGUGACCACAUACUCCUUGCAAUCCACCAAGUGAACAGUUCCAUUCACCGGGCGUAGAGAUCCUUCGCCAAACAUCUCCCUCGCCACACAUAUAUGGAAGAACCUCCCCAAAUCUAAUAUCCAGUCAUGAGUAGUAUCUGGUUGAGUGACGGUAAGUACAUCACUUUCAUUCUCACUUGCCACUGAGCAUACUCCUCUCAUAGUCUUAAAAUUUCGAUAGUCUUUUAUCAUGUGACCCUCUUUGUCACAAAGAUAGCAUGUACGGUUGCCCUUGCUCUUGCCUUUCUUCUUCCCAUGAUUCUUGACUUUGCCUGCUCCACCUGAAAUAGUCAAUGCUUGAUCACCCGAGGAUGAAGAUUCCUAUGGCUUCUUUAAGGACUUCGCCUCCAGUAGGUAUGAAACUAUUGCAUUGAAGUUGAGAGUAGUUUUCCGAUGAGAAUAUUCAUCACCAAUUUCUCCCAUGAUGAUGGUAAGGAUGAAACCAGUAUGAUGAUCUUAUCGUUCUCCUCAAUGUUCUCAUUCACACUAAUCAGCUGCGUGCUAAGCUUGUUGAAGACAUUCAGAUGGUCUACGAAUCGUGCGCCUUCCUCCAUGUGCAACCUAAAUAGUUGACGCUUCAGUACCUAUCGAUUUGUCAGCGACUUUGCCAUAUACAAGUCUUCUAAACUCUUCCAUAAUUUUUUUGGUGAAAUUUCCUUAAUUACCGAGUACUUUACCUCAUCGAAGAGACAUAGUUGUAUUGUACUGACAGCCUUCCGCUCCAUCACCAUUCUUUAGCAGUUGUGCUCUCCGAUUUGUUCCCUUUAAGAGCAUCAACCAACCCUUGCUGGACAAGCACAUCUGUCACCACACACUGCCACACGCUGAAAUUCUCUUUGCCAGCAAAUUUCUCUACUUGAUUCCACAUCCCUAACAUUAUUUUGAUUUUGUGCUUCCUAGCACUGCCGACCUUCUCACAAAAUCAAAUCAAUCUGACCUCGGCUCUAAUACCACUUGUUAGAAUCUGAUACCCUCGUUAUGCACAGUAGCCCUCGAUGUCGAGGAUAGAUCUCCAGUACAGGAAGAAGAUGGACUCCUACUAGGAUUCCCCUAUAAUCCUACUAGGACUUAUACCAUGUAAUCCUACUAGGACUCCUCCUUUUAAACGACUAGUAAUCCCGCCCCUUGAGUAUAUAAAGGAGGGAUACUUAGAUCGGCAGGCUCAGAACCAUCAUCAAUAGCCAACAACUAGGCUACACAACAUCCAAGCGCAGGGCACAAUAUACAACACCACAAAUAGGACGUAGGGUAUUAUGCUAACCUGGCGGCCUGAACCUGUAUAAAUCCGUGUCUUGUGUCCUCGCUUUUACCUUCAAGUUCCAGGUUCGGUGAUCCCCCACCAAUCAAUCUACUACCUCGGGAUACCCCUUGGUAGGUUGCCGGGUAUAAUACACCGACAUCUAGCGUGCUAGAUAGGGAUGAUCGUCGAGAUCAUCAGGCGAGCUUGAAGGAUCUCAUCUACAAGAUCAAUCUACUAGCGUGGCGUGGUUGCUUACUUCGUCAACUAAUUUGGCAACUCAUUGUGUUCGUGCAUCAAAUCCCAAGCGGAGUCGAAGAAGGCUGAUUACGGCACCUUGUCCCAGAGUACAAGAUGGAGUCUAAUUGGAAUCAUGCUCUCCGUCACCGAGUUGUACUCGUCUUUUUUGUUGAAAACCAAAAGAUGCUCACCACCAAAAAAAAAUUGGCUGCUGUCUCUGCAAUGUUCCGGGACUUACCCAGAGCUACACUUUGCCAAUUAUUUCUGGGGCAUGUUGAUCGACAGCCAUGGGCUUGGUACAUCAGAUUACGGAGGCUAUUGCCACAGGUUUGGUGCACUAAGUUCCGGAAGCUCUGCCAUAGGCUUGGUACACCGAAUUACGGAGGCUACGGCCACGGGUUUUGUGCACUGAGUUUUGGAGGCACCGCCACGGGUUUGGUACAUUGAAUUUUGGAGGCAAUAACCGCAGAAUUGAUGCACUGAAUACCAGAGGCUCACAAUGGUUACACCCUAGGAAGGCACAAAUCCUAUGAGCACAACACGCGCUCUUCGCACCGAAAGGCAGAAAAGUCUCAACGACUACUUUAAGAGCAAUCGCGCUCUCUUUUGUCACAAUGCCGACUACUUAUGUCUUCUCUUAAUGGUUACCAAUAUCUUUGAGCAGAACACGCCUCAAUUCAUGAUAGUCUCGGAUCUUCUAUCACGCCUAAACACUAGCACACAUACACGAGACAAAAAGAUCUCAGACGUGCAAACAACAGUGCUAGUAUGCGUAUACGAGACACAAAGAUCUCACACACGCAAUGGCAAUGGCUAACAGAGACUGAGAGCUUAAAUGUAAUAGGCUAACUAUUUGGGAGAAAUAUAACUGAAAUAAGAGCACGACACACAACAUUUACAUUACAUUCAUUACUGAAUAAAGGUUCAGUAGUUUCAAAUUCUACAAAUAUGCUACAGAAUAUAUGCAUCUCUUUUUAUAGGUCAAGCUUCGGCGACGACUCUUCAGGACGCUUAGCGUACCUCCGGUAGCUCCGCUAGCUCUCAAACUCGAGGGCUAAAGCCAAUAACUACUCGACGUGGCUCCUAUGGCUCACCUGGUGCAUAAGCUCGGGGUUGGAUGCUGCAAAACUACUCGGAUGAUGACUUGUUGAAGACUGAAGAUCCUUAGAUUGAUUAUUUAAUCAUUCCAAGGUCUGGGGCUCGUACGCUACACCCAACAGUUGGUUUUUUUCAAGACAAAGGCAGAAGAUUCAAGAUUUUAUUGACCCUCAGCCUAAUUUUUCGAUUCAACCUAAGGCUCGGGGGCUACUCUAUAUAGAGUGCGACUUCCGGCACCCUUCAUAUCACAUUCCAAAGAUGAAGAUUGCAAAAUCAAGACGAUCAAGGGCUUGAGCACACCAUAGCCUCAUGACAGCUUUAAGGAACUUUGAAGAUUCAGCCAGACAAAAUACUCGAAGAGCACCAAAACUACUCGGCGAGGAUCUGAAAAGUACUAAAGGCUUCUGCAUUCGCCUAUGAAGCACUCGGGGGAUUGUCGGGGAUAAAUCCCCAGUAUCCGCAAGGAAGGAAGAAGACAGACUCCUAUUAGGAUUCCCCUGUAAUCCUACCAGGACUUAUACCAUGUAAUCCUACUAGGACUCCUCCUUGUAACCAACUAGUAAUCCCGCCCCCUGAGUAUAUGAAGGAGGGCAGGGGUACCUAGAUCGGCAGGCUCAGAACCAUCAUGAAUAGCCAAGAACCAGGCUACAAAACACCCAAGCACAGGGCACAAUAUACAACACCCCAAACAGGACGUAGGGUAUUAUGCUAAUCUGGCGGCCCGAACCUAUAUAAAUCUGUGUCUUAUGUCAUCGCUUUUACCUUGAAUUUCAGGUCUGGCGAGCCCCCAUCAAUCAAUCUACUAUCUCAGGAUACCCGUCGGUAGGUUGCCGGGUAUAAAACACCAACACCCGGAUCUAGAAAGGAUAUUGCAAGUACGACAAGAGCUUGCAUCGUAUCAAGAACAACGUAUAUAAAUCUUGUAGAAAACCCAAUUGAUGGCGUUGAAGCAACUGCGAUAAGAGAAUAGGAUUCUAGCGAAGCCGACCGCGGAUUCUUUAAGCACAACUUCUGAAAGAGUACAAGUGAUUGUCGCUCCCUCACAACCCUACUUGACCCUUUAGGACCCUCCAAUUCUUGCCCUAUACAAGAAUCUAUUGCUAUAGAACUGUCUAGCCUAUCCCUCUAGAGCGCUCCUAAUUGCCUCUCGCAAACCUUGGAUGAGACCUUGGUGGUUGCCUUUUGCUUGAUUUAUUCCUAGAGGCUCCAUCCCCUUGUUUAUAUAGUCCCCUCCAAGGCUCUCAUACAUGCAAAUAGGAGUCCUACACCUAGUAGGAUUCAACACUCAAGUUCUAGUAGAACUACAAGUUCUAAUAGCACACCCCUAUGGAGUCCUAAUUAAGUAGGAUUUGAGUCACCAUACAACACUUUUGUAUUUGGCCAGCAACAUGUGAGGCUUCAGCACUCCCAAAGGCUCCCAAAGGAGCUAGGAGGGCUGGGUAUACUGGAUCUAAAAACCUUUGGCCGAGCUCUUCACUUGAGAUGGCUGUGGUAUGAAUGGAAGGAACCUGAUAGGCUGUGGGUUGGGACUGCACCUCCAUGUGAUGAAAUUGGUAAGCAACUUUUCAGAGCUAGUACAACAGUAAUAGUUGGGAACAGUAAUAAGGCAAGGUUCUGGCAAUGCACAUGGUCAACGGUAGAGCACCAAGAGAUAUUGCACCAAAGCUGUUCAAGUUAGCCUGGAGGAAGAACAAGACAGUUAAGGAAGACAUUGCAGGUCACAAUUUGACUAGAGGAUUAUGGAGAAUGAGCACAGGAGAAGACAUGGCCGAAUUUGUUACCCUUUUGGGAUUUAGUGUAGAAUGUGCAGCUAUAUGACAGGGAGGAUGACAUAGCAUAGAAGUGGACUAGCAAUGGGUUUUACACAUCAAAGUCUGCAUACUUUGUACAGCUAAAAGGAACUUAUAACACCUUUGACAGUAAGGCAAUUUGGCAGGGACACACUGAAGGUAAGUAAAAAUUCUUCGCAUGGCUCCUAGUGCAAAUCAAGAUCUUGACAGGUGAUAAACUGGUAGCAAGAAAUUGGUCGUGGAAUGUGUGAUCAACAGCAAGAGACAGCAGCACAUUUGUGCCUACAAUGAAAUUACGCCAGACAAGUGUGGCUGAUAGUAAGCAAUUGGACCCAAGGAAUAAUCAAGGUAUUGGAGAUGGAUGAGGUUGAUGUCGAGGAAUGGUGGAAGAGAUCAUGAGGGGAGGUCACAACAAAAGAAAGAAAGUCAGCUGCUGCCAUUUUGAUGUACUCAGCAUGGCAUAUUUGGAAAGAAAGAAAUAGGAGAGAGUGUUCGAAGGCAAGAGCUUGUGUCUGGAUCAGAUCUUCUCAUUGAUUCAAGAAGACAUUAACAUGCGGCGGAGGGUGCGUGGAAACCCAUGUGUGGGUUCGAGUAGUCAUUAGUUAUCUAUGUCAUCUUUACUAUCGAUGCGAGAGACAUUUGAUUUAUGUAAUAUCAAAUUUAUUGUAACCAUAAACUUCUAUCUCGUUAAAUGCAUCGCAGUGCUCCUGCCUCCUUUAAAAAAAAACAUGUGAGGCUUCAGUGCAAUUUCCCCCAGCAUUCACAUCACUGCAACCAACCUGAAGGUGGGAAAUUUGGUACAGAACUCUCUAGGAGAUUAGUAAGUUUGUAAUGGUUUGUAGAUAAUGGGUUAAGGCUACGCUCAAUGCAAAUUUCAUUCUUGUUAAAUAGAGUGUCAUGUCAAUAUUUUUUAUGAUGUGGCAAAGAGUUAAUGAAGAGAGAUGAAAUGAGUUUCAUGAUGAUAAAACCAUAUAUAUAUACACUGUUUAGAAUAUGGUUUGUAUCUUAUAUGCAGCCUAGGAAACAACAAUGGAUAAACCAAUGCAUUGUAUGAAAUUGUUUCAAAUAUGAAUUAAAUGUUCUAUUGCUUAUAUAUGUGGUAUUUUAGAAACAUAAAAUCCUUCAUUGAGAAUGAACAAGGCACUUUAGGAGGAAAUAGACUCUCUAUCUAGAAGCAAUAUAAAAGUAUUUUGUUUAUCAGAUGUACUUGUUUUUAUCACUGUCAAUUUCAAAUGGCCAACUCAUCAUAUACUUAUUUGUGUAUUAUUGGUUGAACCAUCGUGUGUUCCGGUGUCACAUAGUGCAAUAAUAGUACUAAAAAGGGACAGUAGCUCUGAUGGUAAAGGAUUACGUGUUAGGUUUUGUUGCAGAGAUUCUGCCAUGUGUAUGACUCCCUUUGUGCCGUUGGUUUAGCAUGAUUAGCUUGGCCACGGGGCUCGGGGCAAAACAUACAAAAGGGAUACACUACCGUUGGGCAUAUAGCAAUGCUGACCCACCUCUCCUAGAGCUGCAUAUGCCUUCACGUCCUCACCGACCUUAAUUUUAAGAUCAUGGGAAGCUCUAUCAAAGGACAUGUCUUAAUUUUGUUUAUUGCAUUUGUGGAUCCAAAUUAAUCUGAUGUAGCUGGACUAUACAAAUCUCAAAGAAAAAAUUGGCAUGCAAAUCAACUGAGAUAAUGAUCCAGAAAAAAAUGGCAUGCAAAUCAACUGAGAUAACGGCGACACGGGCAAGUGGCUGGCUGCCAGGAAGCCGUCGAUCGAUCGCCGCGCGACGCCGACGCGGACGGACGGUUCGUGUGCUAUUUUUACUCGGCAGCGACGUGGCCCGGCCAGUUUCGCUGAGCCAAGACCGGGCCCUCGUCUUGGCACUUUCGCUGAGCCGGCCGAGCUGCGUCGACCGGUGACUAAACCCUUCAGCAUUGGCAGCCACACGGCACUGCACUGUCCGAGUCAAAGGGACAGACAGACAGACUACGGAUCUCUGUCGUCGUCCUUUUUUAUAAGAAGAUUUACAUGUAUGCAUAUCUGAACAUUAUUUAAGACCAUGGAACCGAUGGGCCGCUAUAGGACACAAAGCUAAAAAAACUUUUCUAUAUAUCAUUGCUCUGACAAACUAGCGUGAUCUACAACUGCGAGGAACAGCAAUAGUGCCGGUGCAACUCGAAUGUAUAUACUGCUACAGUAUCUGGGUUUGAUCACCAAAGACGAAGCUUCAAAAGAAACUGACACCAAGCCAUCUCCAAAGAAGCUAGUACCGCAAUAAGACAUCAUUCAUGCAUGCUAGCUUUUCAUGCCCAUGGGGAUUUUAAGCAAAAGCAACCAUUAUAAAAUAACCAGAAAUGUUAACACAAAAUUCAUUGCACGAAACGCGCACCUGACUACGCCUCUACAUAAAACCCCGAUUAAGCUGGGGUUUUUUUACCCGACUAAGUCAGUUUUGUCGAGGUUCUGUCGAAGCUACUAACAUGACGCUUGUCCUGGAGGGACUUUAAGUUAGUUUAUAAUCGGCAGGCCACUUAGAACAUUCUCGGUUGAUUAGGUUUUGAGAGGUAAAAAAGGAAAAUUGUAUUUGUGUCAAUUCGGCCGUGAUCUGAUAGGAAGGUCUUUGUUCAGUUAGGAGUAGAAAGUCUUGCAAGUUUGUGCUAAAAUAUAACUUCUAACUUAAUUACAUAGGUAGAAUCGGCCCGGCCAGUUUAGUAAUUUAGUCUGACCGUUUUUUUACAAAAUUUCCCAAAAUAAUAUUACUUAUCCAAACUCCAAAUGGAAUGCUCAAUAUAUGCAUUUUUAUCAUCUUGGCAAAAAUUAUGUAAUGGUGAAACCUAAUUUGCAUUCGGAUAAAGUCACACUAACCGCUAUUGCUAGACAUGUUUAUCAUCCGUCUGUGCCAAUUUUGAUCGUUAACAAGAAACAAUGUGAACUUCACGCUCUAUUCAUGCCAAAACUUUCAAAUAAGUAACCUGAGUAAUAUAUAGGCAAAUUCCAGUAAGGUCUACUAGUAUCAUCCAAAAACAAAAUAUACAUUGAGAUCUGCAGCGAGGGAAAGGAAAUCAAUCAAUCUUUGAAGGUCAAUGUUGGCUCAUUGUGAAAGGUCCAGGAUCUUUCAUGUAAGAUCACAUGCAAUUUAUCUUUAAUUAUAUUGAUUAACACACUAAUUGAUUACUAAUAAUAUAUUCUGACAACAUUAUCCUGUGAAAUACCAUCAUCAAUCAUAUGCGGAAGGAUGACCUCACUAAUAGAGAAAUGGGCUUCAGUCCCGGUUGGAAAAGUGCAAAGAGCUCGAAUUUCCAACCGGGACUAACAAUCGGGACUAAAGAUCCCCGUCUUUAGUCCUGGUUCUUUUACCCAACCGAGACUAAAGGGUUUUGCAAAAAAAUAUUAGAAAUUUCUGGGAAGCUCCCACAAGUCACACAUAUACGCGUGCGCGGUGCAUGUGAUUCGAACCCACGACCUCAAGCAUUGUGCAAUCCUUCCUUAACAUCUCACCUUUAGUUUGGGUUUGUAUUACAAACCAAGAUUAAAUGGGUCUCCACGAACUACUAAAUUUAGACCCGGGAGUAAAGCCUCUUUGGUCCCGGGUCCAAUUUGUUUCGAGAUUUUUGUGAAGGAUCAAAGGUUAGUUUUCUACUGGUGCCUGUUCCUUGUCUUACCCAUCAUCAUGUAGGGCCCACUUGGAAAGGAAAAAUUGUAGGAAUUCCAAAACAAAUGAAAGGAAGGAAAAUGAGCGUUUGGAAUGGAGGAAGCGGAGGUUUCUUUCUGCAGGAGCUGGAAAUUGGACCGUACCAUUUCAGAGCGGCCCGUGGCAAAAUCUUUUGGCACGGCCCAAAACACACAUGAAAAACUCUGCACCGUCCUGCAGAAAUACGAGAGCCGUGCAAUACUUAGCAUCUCAGCUUGGAAGGCAACAUGGUACGGCAUGAUGGCAUGAUAAUUUUUUUUUCAACAUAGUACGUACACAGAUACUCAUAUAUGAAUGCACGCUUAACUCUAUGAAUACGUGCACAUAAUCCUACCCAUAUGAGCACCUUUGAGAAACUAAUCCGUUAGAUACUCAAAGAUUGAUGAAGUCACAACUAACGUCUCGCUGUCGACGAGCAUGUCACCUACCACUGAAAAAAUAACACUAGUUAAAUCCUAAAAUAAAUUUAAAAAAAUACGAGUACAUGUACCGAGUCAAAGAUUCAAACCCUAGUAAAUAGAUUGCAUCAUAAGAAAUCUUAUCAGCUGCGUUCAAUUCACGAUGGUACGAUAUCUUGAUAAGAUAGUAGCAUAAUAUAGAAGGUAAAUUCAUCUUUUUAUUAUUUAUUCUUCUCUUAUACUCAUUUCUCCUCUUCUAACUACAAAUUUUAUGGAUGCGCAUGCGAAUUGCACGGAGAAAUCAUGGUUGAUAUAACAUUAUAAAAUUACAUUUUAUUAGGCAGGGCCUUGGGCUAACACUAGCACGAUGAUGGCAAUGGCGUGCUAUAGGUGAUUGGGCCUAACUCGUGACAUAUCGGGCUGACAUGCCCGUAGCACGACGAAAGCACAGUACCAAUUAAGAACAAUUAGUCCAUCAACCCAUCCUCCGAAUAAUAAUUAAAAAAUACUGUAUUUAAAAAUUAUUUAGAAAUUAAACUUUUAGAUAAUAAUAAAAAUGUUUACCUUAUUGCUCUCUCAUUUAUUUAAUACUCUAACAUAAUACUAAUAUAAAUGUGUGCUUAUCUUUGUCUACUUGUGAUUGAUUUUUAAUUACUAAUUACCCCGUACACUUUUUCAUCCACAUUAAUAUUUUUUUUCAUUUUGUAGUAUACCUUCGUACAUUAUGUUUAGCAUAAAAAUUAACAUUUUUUCAUCGCUUCCUCAAGUACAUUAAAAAUGGUCUAUAUGGUGAUACCCAUCAUGUGUAUAUACCUUAACUUAAUAUUUCUAUAUUAAUAAUGACAAAAAUAAUAAUUUAGAAUCAUAUAUUAGUUUACAUUUGAAUAUUUAUGUAUGAUGAAUACGAAGAUACUUAGAUUAAGAUUGACAUGUUUAUUUUAGGUUAUUUUUAAUAAAGCAAAAUUUGCUAUAGGGCACUGAAAGUGACGUCGAUUUGCUGAGGGAUAACGUCCAAAACGGGCUAUGCUGGAAGACACUCUAGUUUCGUCUAAAUUUGCUGGAAGACACUGGCUCAAUUAAAAUAAUAUUUUUAGGUUUAGAAGGAGAGAGAAAGGAGUUGAAAUGCUGUUUUUGCCCAUGGACCCACCGGUCAGUUCUUUCUCUCCUAUCUUCUUCGUCUCACUGCGCCUCCAACCCAUGGCCAUGUCAGACUGUAGCUCAGCGCGGCGGCAUGUAAGGGAGAGGAGGUGGAGUGUAGCGGGUUGGGACGAGCGGGGCACUCGCAGCGGCGGAAAGCAGGUUUUAAACCUGACGCAGGGGUGCUGUCGUGGUCCCAUGCCUGAAUGCGCUGAAUGCCGCGUCAUGAGCCCGGCGGCCGCCGCGCUCCUGGCCGCACCCUUGGGGCCACGGGUAGCGGCGAGCGCUCCGCUAGUCCAAUACCGUGCUCCGCCCAACCUUGCCCCGUCAAGGGGCCACGUGCUACGCCGCCGCCACAGGUCGCCCCGCGCCACGCCGGAUCCGUGCGCCGCCAAGCGGGCCCUAGCCCGACGCCACAAAAUGGAGGGAGGAAGAAGAAGAGUCUUACCUGUGGGGUCAGGGGUAAAAAUAACAUUUUAUCAUGUUUCUCUCUCCUCCUUAGCUUAAAAAUAAUAAUUUAACCCAGACGGUGUCUGUGGCGGAACCACCUCGGAUUAGCUUGAUUAAUCAGAGUUUAGCCGCCUAACGUGUGACACCCCUGGUUAACUCAAGCCAACACGAAGCGCCGUCGGACUUCAUCCGAUUUAACCACUUAAACAGGAUCGAGUUCAGCAACCCACACAAGGCGAGCGGUUACAGAGAAUACAACGAGUCCACGGAUUUUAAACAAGUUUUACUCAUUUUGGUUCCACCAUAAAAUCCAACAUUAGGGUUUACAAACGAAGAUCAACAGAGAAAGCUAGCGGAAGACUUCGUCGGGGUCGGACGUCCAGGCGAGGCCAACCAGAACAUCACUGAGUCCUCUCCUCGCAGUCCGAGGAGGGAUCCCACUCAACCCUCCAGCCUGGCGGGAGCUGGGGCGGCCAAGCACCAACAAGGGAGGGGUCGGGAACUGCAACUUCACCUGAAAAACAGGAGCCACAACAAGGCUGAGCUACUAAGCUCAACAAGACUUAACCGGGGAGGAGCCAACUGCUCUUCUAACUAGACAUGCAAGGCUUCUGGGCUGAGGGGUUUGUUUUGCCAAAAGCACUAAGUAACCUAUUUUCAAGUUUUAGUUCCGGUUCUAGAUUUACUUACCAGUCUAGGUUGUGCAACCUACUCUAAGCAAACAUCGAGCCAAACAAAAUGUGUAGAUAAAAACAACAACAUUGCCAUCAUCAGAUUCCUCAUUUACUCAGGGUGACGUAGCGAUCAAGAAAUCUCAAACUGUGAGAGGCAGACGAAUCGAUUCGAGUUCUUUAACCAUGCAUGGUGAACCUAGCCCCACGACAUCCGCGCACCCGGAGGUCGCUUCCUGUGUCGGCCUUCCCCAUCAAUCCCCUAACCCGUGUCGGGCCCAUUUCCUUUGGUGCAAGGUUCCACAGACCCGGUCUCUGCCGUUCUGUGACCACGCUUUGCCACCACGUGCGACAACCAGCAGGGGAAACUCCGUUCCAAGAACAAUGGGGCGACCGCUCACGUCUAGGUUCAAUCAGGUACUAGGCUUCCUCAUCCCAUACUAAGUAUGAGGCUAGUACUUUCAAACACUUGAUCACGAACACCACCACUGUCGGGCCUUAGCAAGUUUUCAUAGACAGACGGGGCAACCAUCCGACCACCAAAGUGUUACCCAACCCUGCCCCGUCCACCGUCCUUAUAGUUGUAGCAGAGAGUAAACAUGCAACUCCUACAACUCGCGAGUGACAGGAGAUCACUUGGCUUUUACCGUCUCCUAUUUAAGCAAUGCAGCUACUCGGUCCAACAGCUAGUGCUCAUAUCAAGGGUCACUAAGUCAUGUAUCUAGGGUUUCACACAACUCCUAAACGUAAAUGCACAAACAUGCUAUUCGGAAGGCAUGUGCAAGUUUGGCAAAAACACGUAGGAUUUUCAUGCAACCGGGGCUUGCCUGCAAACAAGGAGGGCUGGAACUGCUCGACUUCGGGGGCGGCUUCGACUUCCGCGGGCAGGAUCUCGGCCACAGCUUCUUCUUCGGGCGCCGGGUGCAACUCGUAGAAGCCGUCAGCGAGAUGCAGCUCUACACGAAUGCAAUGCAAGGGUUAGCUUAAACGUUUGAUUUGACAGCAACACUGGCUCUCCUGAGCCCAGAAACUUGCGACAAAGAGCAGGAGGUUGAGACUGUUUGAGAGAGCUGAUGAUGAUCAACAGGUAAGGGUAGGAAGGGAACUAGUGGUCUGAUCCUUGAACUAGAGGAUGUGAUAACUGGGAUCCUCAGACGUAGGCGCUGAAGGGUUCCCACGUUUUACACAUACACCCUCGAGUUGAAGAAAAAAAUCACAGCCAAGCCCUCGGGCGAGGCGGACAAGGGUCGGCGAACAGACAGGGUCGGACGAGACGGAACUGGGGUCGGGCGGAUAGGAGGGGUCGGGCGAGGCGGACUUAGGGUCGGCACUCACCUUCUUCCUGAAGGAAAGCUUGGGGUCGGGAAGAGGCAGACUUGGGCGGGGAACUAAAGCUUCGAGCAGGGACUAAGACUGGCGAUGCUCCGGCGGCGGCGCUUCUUGCGGAUCACAAGAGAGCUCUACGCAGCACAAGGGAGCAAGCUGCGGGGUGACCUGGGGAACUGAGAUGGAACUGGGAGAAGAACUUUUCAAGAACUGGAUGGGUGGCGCUAGAAGCUUGAGCAGGAAGCUAGAGGAGGCUAAGGGCAACAAAGACGGAGGGAACUCCGGCGACGGGGCAUUCCUUUUAUAGCUGCUGGAGCAGAGGAACGGAAACGUCGCGGAGAGAGAGAAGGGGAGCGGCGCGAAGGCCGGGGAGAAGCAAUGGAGUGCUCUGCCGUGGCGGCGAUUGAGCAAACCGGGCGGUGCUGCAGAACUCCGGGGGUGACGCCAGCGAUCAUUGUGCUACUCCGUCAGGGCGGCGUAGGCGCGGGUAGACCGGUGGUUGGGAUUUGGCGGAGAGCGGGCGUCGUCGUGCGGAAGAGGUGAUAGAAGCGACCGGUUAAACGGCGCUAGGAUCAAGGGUGCACAGGUGGGAAGACAAGCGGUCGCGGCGCGGGGGAGAGCGCGGAACAACAGAUUGUCGAGCGGCUUCUGACAGAGCGGGGAAAGGAACUGUCAUGGCCGCGGUCGGGGUUGGCGGUGGGGGAAUCGUCGUGUAGCGACGACCGGGCGGCGCAACUGUUGCUGGAAGGGACGGAAAAGACGGGCGACAUUGGUCUCCGGGGCCGGGAUCUGGUAUCGCGAUGAUGGGCGCGGGAGACGAGGGUCUGCAGAAAGGGGUGCAGAGGGCUUCCGCUGCCAUUGGGGAAAAGGGCGCGGGACCCAACUCUGUUCCUCGCCAGAGACAAAACUGGGCGAUGGCGUCGGAGAAGACGAGCCACGCGGCAAGAAAACUCUGAGGCGGCCAUGCAACUCGAGUGCGGCUGACGCGGGGGAUCUGGAAAAGGAUCUCACGGGUCCACCGGGGGAAAAGAUCGGACGGGUGAGGAAGAUCAGCAGGAUCCGACGGAGGGCUGAGCUCGCCAGGGUCGGGAAAGGAACGAAGCGGUAGGGGUCGGAUCUCAGGGGUCGGGACUGGCGGAAGACUGAGCACUUAGGUGCGGUCAACAGAACAACUGACUGAGGUUAAGGGCUGAGAUCAAACCUAACUGGGAAAGGUUAGGGGUCGGUCGCUACAGCCUACCCCUCUUAAAAAGAAUCUCGUCUCGAGAUUCAAGAUCAAGGGUGUGCUGUUCUUACCUCCUUGAUGGGAUAGAAAACCUGGAAAACGCUUGUUCAGAUAUUCUUCCGUCUCCCAUGUUGCUUCAUCUUCGGUGUGGUUUCUCCAGAGGAUCUUGUACAUCUUUACCACUUGACGUCGGGUGUGCCUUUCCUUCUGGUCAAGAACUCGAUCUGGGUACUCGGCGUAGGCCAGGUCAAGUUCUACUUGAAGCUGUUCUUGUUCUAGGAUCUCUGCUGGAACUCGGACACAUUUCUUCAACUGAGACACAUGGAAAACAUUAUGUAUGGCUGAUAGCUCUUCGGGGAGUUGGAUCCGGUAAGCAACGGGUCCACAUUUCUCCACAAUCUCGUAAGGGCCAACAUAGCGGGGAGCUAACUUGCCUUUUAUUCCAAACCGUUGCACUCCUUUGGUUGGGGAGACUCGAAGGUACACAUGAUCACCAAGGUUGAACUGCAGGGGUCUCCUCCGCUGGUCAGAGUAACUCUUUUGUCGCGAUUGGGCAGCCUUGAGAUUUGCCUGAAUUACCUUCACUUGCUCCUCGGCUUCUGCCACUAAGUCAGGGCCAUAAACCUGUCUCUCUCCUGGUUGGGACCAGUUCAAGGGUGUCCUGCAUCUUCGACCGUACAGGGCCUCAAACGGUGCCAUCUUCAAACUGGCCUGGUAGCUGUUAUUGUAGGAGAACUCUGCUAAGGGCAGGCACUUGUCCCAGUUUUUGUCAUAGUGGAUGACACAAGCUCUUAACAUGUCUUCGAGGAUCUGAUUUACUCUCUCGGUUUGGCCAUCGGUUUGGGGAUGAUACGUUGAGCUUCGGAUGAGCUUGGUGCCCAUGGAUGUUUGUAAUUGCUCCCAAAAACGGGCCACAAACUGAACUCCUCGAUCAGAGAUGAGGGUCUUGGGUACACCAUGUAGGGAAACGAUACGGUCGAGGUACAACUCUGCAUAUUGCCUGACUGUGUAGGUGGUACGAACAGGAAAGAAAUGUGCUAUCUUGGUCAGACGGUCCACUAUAACCCAGAUAGAAUCAUACCGUUGAGUUGUAAGGGGUAACCCAACUAUGAAGUCCAUGCUGAUGUCUUCCCAUUUCCAAGAGGGAAUAGGUAGCGGCUGCAAGGUCCCUGCUACCUUCAAGUGACUGGCCUUGACACGUUGACAAGUGUCGCAUUCUGAAACAUAACGAGCUAUCUCCGGUUUCAUCCCACUCCACCAAAAGGUCUGUCGGAGAUCGUGGUACAUCUUGUUGCUGCUAGGGUGGAUUGAGAACUUGGAAAGAUGAGCUUCAUCUAGGAUCUGCCUCCUCAACUCAGGGUCGGCGGGCACUACUAGUCGGUUUCCAUGGUACACACCUCCCGUUUGGUCCUGCCGGAAAAGCUUAUAUCCCUCGUCUUUUACCGAGACCUUACUGAUGAUCCGUUUUACUUCUUCAUCCUUAGCUUGUGCUGACCGAAUCCGGUCCUCCAAAACUGAGUCAAGGAUGAUGUGAUCAAGGGUUCCACGGGGAACAAGCUCUAGACUUAGUUUUCCCAUCUCGUGACACAAAGUGUUGGAGAAGGCUGUUGACAACAAGCAGUUGCAACGGGGUUUGCGACUGAGGGCAUCGGCCACCACAUUGGCCUUGCCAGGAUGAUAGUGCACUUCCAAGUCAUAAUCCUUUAUCAACUCCAGCCAUCUUCUCUGACGCAUGUUGAGGUCGGCUUGCGUGAAGAUGUACUUGAGGCUCUUGUGGUCGGUAUAGAUGUUGCAGUGAGCUCCCAUUAAGUAGUGCCUCCAUAUCUUCAAGGCAUGUAUCACUGCUGCCAACUCAAGGUCAUGGGUCGGGUAGUUCAGCUCAUGAGGUCGCAACGCACGUGAGGCAUAGGCAAUGACUCGGCUGUCUUGCCUAAGAACACAUCCGAGUCCAGUGCCAGAGGCGUCACAGUAUACGUCAUACGGCCUAGAGGGGUCGGGUUGAGCCAAAACUGGGGCGGUGGUUAACAAGUGCUUCAGGGUUUUGAAAGCUCCUUCGCACUUGGUGUUCCACACAAACUUGACCUCUUUCUUCAACAACUCGGUCAUCGGCUUAGCUAUCUUGGAGAAAUUCGGUAUAAAACGCCGAUAGUAACCUGCCAGUCUGAGGAAACUCCGGAUCUGGUGUACCGAGACAGGAGACUUCCAUUCCAUGACCUCUUGCACCUUACUGGGAUCCACGGCAAUACCGUCCUUGGAGAUAGUGUGUCCCAAAAACUUGACGCUAUCCAACCAAAACUCACACUUGGAGAACUUUGCAUAAAGCUGGUGAUCUCUCAAUCGCUGGAGAACUAUAUGAAGAUGGUUGGCAUGCCCUUCCUUGUCCUUUGAGUACACUAGGAUAUCGUCAAUGAACACCACUACAAACUUGUCCAGCUCGGGCAUAAACACCGAGUUCAUAAGGUACAUGAAGUAAGCGGGUGCAUUGGUGAGUCCAAAGGACAUGACUAGGUACUCAUACAGUCCAUAUCUGGUAGAGAAAGCUGUCUUGGGUACGUCGCAAGGUCGAAUCUUGAUUUGGUGAUAACCAGAACAAAGAUCGAUUUUGGAGAACACUUUUGCUCCGGCUAACUGGUUGAACAAGACAUCAAUGCGGGGCAGUGGGUACUUAUUCUUGACUGUUACUGCAUUGAGGGGUCGGUAAUCCACACACAUCCGUAAACUGCCGUCUUUCUUCUUCACAAACAGGGCGGGGCAACCCCAAGAUGACGUACUGGGUCGAAUGAAGCCCUUUUCCAACAGAUCAUGCAACUGGGUCUUCAACACUGCUAACUCAGCGGGUGGCAUCCGAUAGGGUCUCUUAGAUAUCGGGGCUGUGCCAGGAACCAACUCUAUAGAAAACUCCACUUCUCUGUCAGGUGGCAUGCCUGGCAAGUCUUCUGGAAACACAUCUGGGUACUCACAGAUGACAGGGAGGUCUUCUAAACGGGUUCGCAAGAGAGGAUAGGCACAAGGAGUCAAAGACUCAGGAUGGGUCAAGGAUAGGGUAGCACUGCCAUGAGAGGGCGAGCGGAGGAAAAGAGAUCGGGCUGAGGUAUCUAAAACAACACGAUGUUGGGCCAUCCAAUCCAUGCCAAGGAUGACGUCUAGGCCUUCGAGGUCAAGGAUGAUAAGGUUUUCCUUGAAGAGGGUGGGGCCUAGUUGGAGAGGUACAAGAAUAACGACCUGAUCCGACGUUAUCCUUCCUCCAGGAGUGGCGAUCACAUAGGGUUCCUUAGUGUGACCUACACUUAGCCCACAUCUUUCCCUUGCCUUACUCCCGAUAAAGCUAUGCGAGGCUCCCGAAUCAAACAACACCACAACAGCUUGGUUUAAAAUAAGGAAAGUACCCAUCAUUACUGACGCACCUUCGGGAAGUUCAGUCAAGCUGGUGUAGUUGAGUCGGCCUUGUCGGACUUGCACCUUGGGCCUUCUUCCUCUGGCUGCCAUGGGGUUCUGGCCUUGCUGUUGAGUCUUGCUCCUGGGGCAGUCCCUUGCAAAAUGUCCCUCAUUGCCGCAGGUAAAACAUCUGUUACUGGCUGCCGGACGAGGUGGCGUUGGUAAGGUCGGCCGGGGUACUUGCGGUUGGGGGCCUGGGAAACUAGGCAUUGUCGCCGGUGGGGGUCGGGCGAUCCAUUUCCCUGACUGUUGGGGUCGGCCAGGGGCUUGUGGAGGGAUCAUCCGAAACCUUCGGGCUGGCGGGCUCGGAAGAGCCACAGAGGCUUUCCUCUUCUGGUCGGCCUUGAGAGCUUGCAUGCAGUCCUCCUGCGAGAUGGCCAGAUUGACCAACUCGUUAUAGGUAUCCACCCUGAUGGGGUUUAGCCUCUCCCUGAGCUCCAAGCUCAGUCCUCGGCGGAAUCUGUCCUGCUUCUUCUCAUCGGUGUCCGCGUGAUAUCCCGCAUAACGGCAUAGGUCAUUGAACGCCUGGGCGUAGUGCAGCACAUCCCGAGUUCCCUGGGUGAGGGCCAGAAACUCGUUGAGCUUGCGCUCCAGGAGACCUUCAGGAAUGUGAUGCGCCUUAAACGCCGUCUUAAACUCGUUCCAACUGACCACGUGGCCAGCAGGUAGCAUGGCAUGGUAGUGGUCCCACCAAAGCCGUGCGGAACCACGCAGCUGCUGAGCUGCGAACCGCGCCUUGUUGUUGUCAGGGCAUGGAACGGUGAGGAGCUCGAACUUGGAUUCGAUCGUACGAACCCAUGCAUCAGCGUCGAGCGGUUCUUGGGUCUUUUGGAACAGCGGGGGCUGCGUCCCCAGAAAGUCCUCAUAUCUUGCGAUAUGCUGCUGCUGCUGUGCUCUACCACCAUGUGGCUGCUGUUGUCCUUGCACCAGAUGCCUGAGCAGCUCGGUUUGAGUUGCUAGGAUUGCCUCCAAUGGCGAUGGUGGCGGGGGCGGGGGAAGAUCCUGGCGCUGGUCACUGCCGCUGGGCACAGAUCCUGACCUGGUGCGGUACGCCAUCUGCAAGAGUUAACGCCCCAUCAAUCUCAUAACCUUAGGUGUACUCCAGCGAUUGGGAACGUAUGAAUUAAAUCCUUUAAUGCAACUCUUGCCAAUGGUGCAUCACACGUCCUCAUAGAGGAAGCACAUUCCUCCUGUCCUCAGCAUAGAUAACCUCUACUUGCCCUGGCACUUCACUUCAGGCACCCAUGCCACACACAGACUCCUAGGGUCUGAUCCACUCAAACCAAGGGGUCGGAUACGGUCCGUACUCAAAGAGGGUCGGACAAGGCGGUAACUGCCUUAAGGGUCGGCGCACUCUAGCUCCCAAACUAGGGUCGGCCAACUGGACAGGCUCCCGAAAACAACACAGGGUUACGGCACCACUCACUCAACCUUAGCAUCCACACCAUACGGAAAGGAUAAAACUAUGCACCGGGUUGACUUUAUACAUAACGACGUUCCAACACAGGGAGUACUCAACUCAAGGCUAACCUAUUACAACUUUCCAAAACUAGGCUGCCGAGGAGUACAACGAAAGAAAGAAGGUUCCCUGAGAACCCUUAAGCUACCACUGGACACUAUGAGUCGGGGAAGGGGCGCCAUCUUCUUCUAUGUCCAUGCUGGACACUCCCUCGUCUUCCUCAGGGUCCUCCUGAGCUUCAAGCUGCAUGUUGAGGGCAUGCAUGCCUUCAAGCUCAGCUUGGUGCUCCUCUAGGUGGGCAUUGGCAACGGCCAACUCCAUUUCCACCUCCAUUUUCUCCUCCGAGAGCUCGAUCAUGCCGUCCACGAGGUCGGCAACUUCUCCUUCCAGCUCGGAGAUGCGGUCUUGCAUGUCGUGGAUCUGGAUUCCACGUUGGAUCAGCUGGUAGGUUUGGCCUACCAGGUCUCUUCUAGCUGCCUGGAGGUACCCGUGGGUGUCUGCAGCCGUCCGGGCAAAGAGAGUCAUGGCUCUUCCUUGGAGCUCUAUCAGCCGGUAGAAAGCAGCCAUGCAACGGACGUUGGUGGAGAUGGUGAUCGUAGCACAGGUAGUGGCCAACACCUCGAGGUUUCCGAUGCGGUCCAGCCGACUCCUGACGGGAAAAAGACCGAUCGGGUCCAGGGUGAUCUCCACAGGGUGGGACUGACAGAACUGCGUGAGCAACUGAAGAGCGGCGGAUUCCCACGUAUCUUCCGGAGAAAGACCGUAGGCUAUGAUGCCCAGAGAGGGCCAGUCGGGCCGCGCAAAAGGGGGUGGCACCAGCGCUUGCACCUGGCACGUCUGGAUGCCCUGCUCCACAUACAGCCGCCCAGAAUACAGGGGUGGGGACUGAUACCCAAACCAUCUCAACGUAUCCCACAAGAUCGCGGGAAACCCCUCGAAAUGUAGGCAUGUUGAUUGGAAGGUACCGUCCGCUCCAAACACCACAUGCCCGGGAGCAGCCAUCUGGAACCAAGAAAACCGAAGCCACGUGAGAUAACUCCGAGGAUCAGGGAUCGGAUAGAGAAGCAGAAGGGCUUAACCGAGAGCAACUAAGAGGAGCUAGAAAUCCUUAGAUCCAAAAGAACUCUGUUGGACAGGGUUGCUGUUGAGAAGAGAACAUUACAGAUUUUUGGUAUGACGCAUGCACGGCCUACCGUACUCUUAACCAAAAACAACUGCCCGAACCUUGGGUCUUACGCGGUCAGCGCCGGUGACAAGGCAACAAUAUGUCUCUCCCUAUAUUAACUAGUCGGUUCUAGCAACGUCUUAACGAGCGCGGUUAGCAACCUGCAGAAAACACACACACGAACCUUUCGUGCCAGCACCCACGAAAGCGUUCCCAAACAUUACCGUUCACUAUAGGAACGGCACCCAUGCGUUUAAGGCUGCAUGGACAGCACUCAACCGUGGAAAUAGGUUCCUUCCGAAUAGAACCACAUAACCCUUCGCAUACUCGUGAUGCGGCAUCGGCACACGUAUGACAAACGUGGCGAAACAACCGUGCCAAUAGGUUCGUUGGAAUCGAACCAUAUCAACCUUCGUAUGGAUCACAUACGGAACCUGCGCACGUAUAAUAGACGUGGGCGGAAACAACCGCGAAGAUAGGGUCCCUUGAAUGGAACUCCCUAUCAACCCUCGCACGCUCGUGGUGCGGAACUCGGCACACGUGUGAUAGACGUGGCGAAGUGCGGGAGGAGUUAGCAAUAUAACCAGAUACUUAUUAGUCACCUAAAACAACCCCAAAAUUCCCUAGGGCCUCUCGCAUUAAGUCAUCCUUAACGUUUGUACGAGAUUUUCGAAAGGCUCUUGCAACUUUUAUAUUUUCAAAGAAGUGUUUAGGGCUCAUUGGGUUCUCUGAUAUGCUAAACUCGGCUCUGAUACCAGCUGUGGCGGAACCACCUCGGAUUAGCUUGAUUAAUCAGAGUUUAGCCGCCUAACAUGCGACACCCCUGGUUAACUCAAGCCAACACGAAGCGCCGUCGGACUUCAUCCGAUUUAACCACUUAAACAGGAUCGAGUUCAGCAACCCACACAAGGCGAGCGGUUACAGAGAAUACAACGAGUCCACGGAUUUUAAACAAGUUUUACUCAUUUUGGUUCCACCAUAAAAUCCAACAUUAGGGUUUACAAACGAAGAUCAACAGAGAAAGCAAGCGGAAGACUUCGUCGGGGUCGGACGUCCGGGCGAGGCCAACCAGAACAUCACUGAGUCCUCUCCUCGCCGUCCGAGGAGGGGUCCCACUCGACCGUCCAGCCUGGCGGGAGCUGGGGCGGCCAAGCGCCAACAAGGGAGGGGUCGGGAACUGCAACUUCACCUGAAAAACAGGAGCCACAACAAGGCUGAGCUACUAAGCUCAACAAGACUUAACCGGGGAGGAGCCAACUGCUCUUCUAACUAGACAUGCAAGGCUUCUGAGCUGAGGGGUUUGUUUUGCCAAAAGUACUAAGUAACCUAUUUUCAAGUUUUAGUUCCGGUUCUAGAUUUACUUACCAGUCUAGGUUGUGCAACCUACUCUAAGCAAACAUCGAGCCAAACAAAAUGUGUAGAUAAAAACAACAACAUUGCCACCAUCAGAUUCCUUAUUUACUCAGGGUGACGUAGCGAUCAAGAAAUCUCAAACUGUGAGAGGCAGACGAAUCGAUUCGAGUUCUUUAACCAUGCAUGGUGAACCUAGCCCCACGACAUCCGCGCACCCGGAGGUCGCUUCCUGUGUCGGCCUUCCCCAUCAAUCCCCUAACCCGUGUCGGGCCCAUUUCCUUUGGUGCAAGGUUCCACAUACCCGGUCUCUGCCGUUCUGUGACCACGCUUUGCCACCACGUGCGACAACCAGCAGGGGAAACUCCGUUCCAAGAACAAUGGGGCGACCGCUCACGUCUAGGUUCAAUCAGGUACUAGGCUUCCUCAUCCCAUACUAAGUAUGAGGCUAGUACUUUCAAACACUUGAUCACGAACACCACCACUGUCGGGCCUUAGCAAGUUUUCAUAGACAGACGGGGCAACCAUCCGACCACCAAAGUGUUACCCAACCCUGCCCCGUCCACCGUCCUUAUAGUUGUAGCAGAGAGUAAACAUGCAACUCCUACAACUCGCGAGUGACAGGAGAUCACUCGGCUUUUACCGUCUCCUAUUUAAGCAAUGCAGCUACUCGGUCCAACAGCUAGUGCUCAUAUCAAGGGUCACUAAGUCAUGUAUCUAGGGUUUCACACAACUCCUAAACGUAAAUGCACAAACAUGCUAUUCGGAAGGCAUGUGCAAGUUUGGCAAAAACACGUAGGAUUUUCAUGCAACCGGGGCUUGCCUGCAAAUAAGGAGGGCUGGAACUGCUCGACUUCGGGGGCGGCUUCGACUUCCGCGGGCAGGAUCUCGGCCACAGCUUCUUCUUCGGGCGCUGGGUGCAGCUCGUAGAAGCCGUCAGCGAGAUGCAGCUCUACACGAAUGCAAUGCAAGGGUUAGCUUAAACGUUUGAUUUGACAGCAACACUGGCUCUCCUGAGCCCAGAAACUUGCGACAAAGAGCAGGAGGUUGAGGCUGUUUGAGAGAGCUGAUGAUGAUCAACAGGUAAGGGUAGGAAGGGAACUACUGGUCUGAUCCUUGAACUAGAGGAUGUGAUAACUGGGAUCCUCAGACAUAGGCGCUGAAGGGUUCCCACGUUUUACACAUACACCCUCAAGUUGAAGAAAAAGAUCACAGCCAAGCCCUCGGGCGAGGCGGACAAGGGUCGGCGAACAGACAGGGUCGGACGAGACGGAACUGGGGUCGGGCGGAUAGGAGGGGUCGGGCGAGGCGGACUUAGGGUCGGCACUCACCUUCUUCCUGAAGGAAAGCUUGGGGUCGGGAAGAGGCAGACUUGGGCGGGGAACUAAAGCUUCGAGCAGGGACUAAGACCGGCGAUGCUCCGGCGGCGGCGCUUCUUGCGGAUCACAAGAGAGCUCUACGCAGCACAAGGGAGCAAGCUGCGGGGUGACUUGGGGAACUGAGAUGGAACUGGGAGAAGAACUUUUCAAGAACUGGAUGAGUGGUGCUAGAAGCUUGAGCAGGGAGCUAGAGGAGGCUAAGGGCAACAAAGACGGAGGGAACUCCGGCGACGGGGCAUUCCUUUUAUAGCUGCUGGAGCAGAGGAACGGAAACGUCGCGGAGAGAGAGAAGGGGAGCGGCGCGAAGGCCGGGGAGAAGCAAUGGAGUGCUCUGCCGUGGCGGCGAUUGAGCAAACCGGGCGGUGCUGCAGAACUCCGGGGGUGACGCCAGCGAUCAUUGCGCUACUCCGUCAGGGCGGCAUAGGCGCGGGUAGACCGGUGGUUGGGAUUUGGCGGAGAGCGGGCGUCGUCGUGCGGAAGAGGUGAUAGAAGCGACCGGUUAAACGGCGCUAGGAUCGAGGGCGCACAGGUGGGAAGACAAGCGGGCGCGGCGCGGUCGCGGCGCGGGGGAGAGCGCGGAACAACAGAUUGUCGGGCGGCUUCUGACAGAGCGGGGAAAGGAACUGUCAUGGCCGCGGUCGGGGUUGGCGGUGGGGGAAUCGUCGUGUAGCGACGACCGGGCGGCGCAACUGUUGCUGGAAGGGACGGAAAAGACGGGCGACAUUGGUCUCCGGGGCCGGGAUCUGGUAUCGCGAUGAUGGGUGCGGGAGACGAGGGUCUGCAGAAAGGGUUGCAGAGGGCUUCCGCUGCCAUUGGGGAAAUGGGCGCGGGACCCAACUCUGUUCCUCACCAGAGACAAAACUGGGCGAUGGCGUCGGAGAAGACGAGCCAUGCGGCAGGAAAACUCUGAGGCGGCCAUGCAACUCGAGUGCGGCUGACGCGGGGGAUCUGGAAAAGGAUCUCACGGGUCCACCGGGGGAAAAGAUCGGACGGGUGAGGAAGAUCAGCAGGAUCCGACGGAGGGCUGAACUCGCCAGGGUCGGGAAAGGAACGAAGCGGUAGGGGUCGGAUCUCAGGGGUCGGGACUGGCGGAAGACUGAGCACUUAGGUGCGGUCAACAGAACAACUGACUGAGGUUAAGGGCUGAGAUCAAACCUAACUGGGAAAGGUUAGGGGUCGGUCGCUACAGUGUCUUCUAGCAAAUUUGCAUCAAACAGUAGUGUCUACCAGCAUAGUCCGUUUUGGACGGUGUCCCUCAGCAAAGCGACGUCGGGCCUGUUCGCUUCAGCUUAUAAGCCAGCUGAAAAGCUGAAACGACUGAUUUGUUGUGAGAGAAAAACACUGUUUGGUGGCUGAUAAGCCGGUUGAACAAGCUCAAGCGAACAGGCCGGUCACUUUUAGUGUCCUAUAGCAAAUUUCGCCUUUUAAUAAAGACAUAUGUUGGUAACUUAGAUACAAAUCUAGAAUGAUAGUUUAAGUUAUGUUUGUUAAUGAUAUGUAUGGGUAAAUUAGAUGAAGAUUAUGAGGUUAUUUUAGAUUAUUUUUUAUAAUGGCAGAGUUGGGUAAUUUAGAUAUAGGUUUAGGGGUUUACUUUAAAAUAUUUUCAUAAUGAUAGUGUUGGGUAACAUUUUAGAAAAUAUAAUGGACUAAUGAUUAUGAUUAUUAGAGUUACAUGAUUGAUGUUCGAUGUUUCUAUUUUUUUAAGAAUUUAUAGAAUUUAUCUUUUUUUUCUAGCGUGUCUCGUGUUCCAUUAAAAAAAUGAGGUCACAUUGCUACAAAACUGUACUUAUGCAGAUAUAUACUUAUUAUUUUCAUCCGAUUGUGAUAGAUUUUAGUUAGUAAUUACUCUAUAACGUUUUCAUCCAUAUUUAACUUUUCACUUGCGUAUAUACCUUAAUUAUUAUAUACCUUCCGAUAGAACCCAUAUAUACAAGCAUAUUAUGCACCGGUGUUAUUUCAAAUAUUAGCACACCUGUCAAAAAUAUGUAUCGGUAAUAUGUGCCAGAUAUAUACCAUUGUUGUUCUUGUUCCUUUUUUUGCCUCCUUGCUUUUGAUAGAGAGAGGUCUUUUUGCGCAUAUUGCAGUUUUUUCAGAUUGGUUUUCCAGGAUCCACAAGUUGUCAUCAAACACUCAUUAUAAGUUGUCAUUUACUAAUUGUAAGCUUCAAUAUUCUUCUCACUGCAGACUACGGAACACAAAAAUUGCAAAGUGAAUCUGAGUGUUCAAUAUUUGGAUGUGAAAAUGUAUAGUUGUUGUUUUCUCAUCAGAUUCAGUAAGAUGAGCACCUUAGUUUUUCCUUCUCUCUCUGCUUUUUUAAGGCAGGCAGGGAUGUAACUCUUAUUAAUUAGAGCAGAAAAUUUGUUUGGUAAGCUUUACUGCAAGGCAAGAGCUGCCAGCAUCUAGAACGGUACAAAACACUGAAAGGCCUGAUGAGCAAAGAAAGUACAGGUACUUGACGAUAGAACUGAUGGUUGAUUUGAAGCCAAAAUACUAGUCACAUCUCAUAGGUAAUGAUGUAUUGAUGAUGUCUACAAAUUUGAUAACAGCACAAAUAUGAUAGUCAAUCUAAUACUGAAUGUAUUGUUGGAUAAUCACUGGCUAUUAAAUUCAAGGGUAAAUAACAUUGGUUUGAUUAUCUUAGUAACAAGGUAAGGUGUAUCAUUACUAUUUUACCUGUGAUAAUAGAUAGGUAUGGUGACAUUGCGUUAGUGUGAUCUGCAAAUUAGGCAAUGAAGUCUGAAAUCAAUACCAAAUUUAAACCCUACCAAUACAUGGAAAAUGAAAAGUUAAAAUUAUUUUAAGAGUGCUGGUUUCAAAAUAUACAUUUUUUUAAUGUCACAGUAGAACUCUCUUGUAGCAUACUAUAAUGCAAUUUGAAAUAAUCUGUGAUUAUGAAUACACAAUAUCUAAUGGUAUUGAAGUAAUAUCUUAAGAGUUAAAGAGUAAAUAGCUGUGCAACUUAUGAAGGAUAUGCAAUUUACAGUUAUUCUUAAGUUACAUUAAUUUGGAAUUAAAGAGUUGUUAUGACAGGGAAUCAGAGUUGUAUAUAUGUUAGUCUUGUUAAUAAUUAUUUUGGAUACAGCUUCUUUGUAACUAAAGAAGAAAGACAACGCGACGUUGCCGCGCCUUAUGACCCUUAGUGUUGGGUUUGAGAGUCACCUUAGCAAUAUUUGCCUGAUCCUAAAUACUCGAGAUAUAUAUUUGCAGCUCCUUACACAUUGGUUAUGUACUAUACCGUAUCUCCACCACCAGACUCAAUGAUAUGCAGCCUGGCUGUAUUAUAACUUACGACAGUUACAAUAAAAGUCUAACUUUCUGAUAUCAUCUGCUAAUGUUUGAUUUCUGAAGGUUCCUAAGAAACUUAUCCAUCUGCACCUGUCUCUCUUGCACUUAACAAUUUCUGGCAAUGAGCAAACCUGCGUGCACCAAGAACAUAGGUGCAUUAGAAUAAACCAUGAUUAAGAAAUUUCCAUGGAAAACAUAUCUAUAUGAUGAAUGGGUUUAGUUAUGCAUCUUCUCAACUCAUGCUUAAUAAAUUGAUCAAGGUGACAAUGUGGUAGAAAGAAGUGAUUGUAUAUAUCAAUAAUUUCUCUUGAUUGCUUCCAGGAAGCACAUAGACUCCACUUUCUGUUUUUGUAUCAAGUCGAUGUUCUGUCAACAGAUGAGUGGGCGAAAGCAGGUCAUGAAUGCGCACAGAGAAAGCAGGUCAUGCUCAUAUCUUGGUGUGGUGGUCACCCAAAUUCCAAAAUUAAUUUACAGUAAGGAACUGUUCUUUCACUUUUAAUAUAUACCCAUCAACAAGCCAGAGAACUCCAUCUUUUACACCAAGUGUGCAAAAAUGAAUUUCUGUUGACGUUAUUUGCAAAAUCUGUACAGAAGAAGACAGGUCUUCAUCACCUGGGAGCUUGGCAUUUUGUCGAACACAUUGCAGGCAGUGGAGGCAACGUCGAUUCACAACCGUUUGAGCUGCUCGUCCAGCUCACCUUCCAUCGCUCCACUGCAGGAGUACAGGACGGAAGCGAGGAGAGCUCUUUCUUGGCGCCACCGUCGCGUCGAUCUGCAGCUCGCGUGCUACGUGGCCGGUGGAGAGGCAGGGGCGGCCUGGUCACCUGGGAGGCGGAGCAGCACACCGGCAUCCCAUCCCGUCCAUGAUACGGGGUCGAGGGAGAGCACAGCACGAGCCGUGGCAAGCGGUGAGCCUCAGACUAGAGCCCGACCUCCAUCGACGCGCAAUGGUUAGGAGGCGGCCGCCUGGAGCCACAGCUUUGGCCUUUCCUGUGAUCGCUAGUUGUCACAGCCCUGCGACGCGCUCUGCCUUGGGCUCUGGCAUCGGUGAAGGGGAGUGGAGGCGGAGGGAGUUUCUCUUGCGUCGAAGGCGAUGGGGGUAGGGGCGACGCGCGGAGGGACAGGGAGGCAGCGGCCGCGGCGGCGGCAGCGAAGAGUCUAGCGCUCAGGAUGAAGAGUCUGGAGCACUUUUUGGACAGCCCGUUCAACAUCCGACGGUGGGAAAAAAUAGGCGAUGUGGUCCGCUGACGUGCUCGAACUUGGCUCAGGUUUCCAAUUAAGAAAGAGAUUUUACUUUAAUUUAUUUUAUAUAAUGUUAGAGGUGGAUAAUUUAGAUAUAAAUUUAGAAGUUAUUUUAGGCUAUUUUCAUAAUGGUAUAGGUGGGUAAUUUUUAGAAAACAUAAUAGAUCCGAUGGACAUGAUGAUUGAUAUUUUACUUUUUUUUUUAGAAUAUCUAGAAUUUCUCAUUUUUUCUAUAGUAUUCGUCUAGAUCCUAGACGGUUUCGCUUGAAGGCUUCAAAAGAAGGCUCUAUCAUGUCUCUUAGCUAUGUCCACCUCGCAAACAAUAGUCUCACCGGUCGUUUUCCUGUCUCGUUGGCCAGUAGCUCCUCACUUAGCACGAUAAUCCUGUCACGUAAUAACCUCACUGCAGACAUCCCUGCUGCUUUGUUUGCUAACUCAUCUGUCCUCACUAAGGUCGAUCUCCAGCAGAAUUCUCUGACAGGUGUUAUCCCUCCUUUUGGUAAGGUCACAACCCUUAAGUACCUUUGCGUUACUGAGAACUUCCUCUCUGGAAGCAUUCCUCCAUCAAUUGGAAAUGUUACUUCCCUCCUCUCUAUACGGCUAGGCCAAAUUAAAACAAAUUUACAGGGUCAAUUCCAGAAAGUUUGGGUCACAUUCCAAAACUUUUUGAACUGGAUCUGAGUUUCAAUAACUUGUCCGGGCAUGUUCCGUUAUCUCUUUACAACAUGAGCUCCUUUACGGUGGACAAUACUACCAUAUACUACUGUUCGAAAAGAACUCGUAUGGAAGGAUCCAACGGUUGAGAUUAAUUGUAUACUACUAAAACCUUAAGCUGUAGUAUAUAUAGUAUGCAUGAGUUGUAUAGGUAGUAUAAGGGUAUUAUUGGAAAGAUGUAAAAUGGCAAUGUUGUAAUAGAUGAAAUGAAAUCUUUAUUAAUUAUAAUCUUAUUUAUUUUUAUUCCUCCUCAUUUUCAAUUAGUCAGAGGUUGCGACUGGGCCUCUUCAUUUCCAAUCGGUCGCAGGCUCAUCUAGGGUUCAGGAGCGGGGCGGCGGCGCCGACUCCCCGGCGGCGGUCGGCGGCGACUCUGCGGCGGGCGGCGGCGACUCCGUGGUUCAGGAGAUGCGUGCUGCGCUGCUGCUCCACGGUACCUAGGGUUGAAAUGGGGCGGGUAGCGGCGACUCCAACAGUCGGCGGCGACUACGAGGUGGGCGGCGGCGACUACGCGGCGGGCGGCGGCGACUAUGCGGCGGGCAUCGGGCGGCGGCGACUACGUGGCGGGUGGCUUCAUGAGCCUCAGGCUUCAUGAGCCACUUUGAUGGCUGGUUGCCCCAACACUCGUUGCUGCUCCAUGCGUAAGCCUGCUUUCUAUCCUCUAAUAAUUUCUCAAAAAACUCAUCAACAAAUGUACACUCCCUUUACUGAAUCAUAAUCAAGCACCUUUUGGUGUGCAGGUGCUUUUGUGGUUUUUCUGAUCUACUUGGGAGCUACACAUUGGGCUGCUUUUUGGUAUGUUUCUUCUCAAUUCAAGCUCGAGUUUCAGUUAUGAGGCAUCGUAGAGUUAUUUGCUUUAUAAACUGGAUUGGCAUUGUGCUUUGUUUAUCAGUUUGGCAGCCUGGCUUGUAUUGACUUUUGAUCAAAUUGAGGGAUCAAACUGAAGUGUGACACUUUAAACCUUGUGAAAUAUGCCAUGUCGAAAUCCAAUUUGUUGGUGGUGCUUAAGUAGCUUCAUCAUUCUAAAGAUUAGCAACUGCAAUUUAUACAUACCAUAAUUUUUCUAAAAAAAUACACCAUAGCCUCUUCUGUAAUAUAUACUAGAUGGAAUUUUUUUUACAAGUUGCCGUAAUGAUAUCUUUGCACUUUCUUUUCUGUGGCCUCCAUGGCCUCUUCUGUAAUGUCCUCACUGUAUAACAACUUAUCGGUCAUUAGGCAUGAACUAUGAACAUUGGCAGUAUCGAACACUAAGUCAAUAAAGGAUCUGGCAAUAUAUUAAAACUUAUGCUACUAAAACACGGAAAAAAUGGAAUGUAAUCUAUUUUUCAUUGUCUUCCAUCAUGUAUGUCUCCUCGGCAUCGGUAGCUUUGUAUCCUGGACUUCCCUUCACUUUGUUCCACGCAUAGUUAACCAAUGUGACAGCUAGCUUGAGCCUGAAAUUAGUCAUAUCCUUCUGCACAUAACAAAUACAAAUGCCUGUUAGCUGUAAUGUAAGAUGGGCAUAGAUUGGGUUGCUGAAUUUGUGUUGUUCAACUUACCUGUGUGAAUAAGGAAGAUAAUUUGUUUCAGGUCCAAAGCUCCAUGAAUUUAACCGUGAAUAGUCCACACGAUGCACUGCGAGUUUAUUUGGUAUUUACACAAGUUAGGAAGUACUAAUUAUGGGAACCCGAGUAUAUUGACAGGUGUUGAUGUGCUUGUACUUGUCAAUCUGGAUUGUCUUUUUGAUGCAUUCAAUGACUGGCCAUUGUUUGACUUGGGUGUCCUUCUACCUAUGUUCUUUGAUCAAUUGCAGGUCUUCAAGGCGUGUCAUACGGUUCUGCAACCCUUGCAACUGAGUUCAAUAGAAUUAUCAGUGGUUGAGGUAAUCAUGUAUAAGUCGGUACCAGAUUAUUAGUGUAUCACCAGUUGAUGUAGUUGUGGCCGGCGAGUGGCAGUCCCCUUGGAGUCAAGUACCUGAACGACACCCUUACGACCAUUGAUGACCACCAAAUACCAAUGACAAUCUUUAAUGUUGAUUGGAAAGAAGACCUAAAAAACUUAUUUCGUUAGAUGUUUGCCUGCGCCAAAUCAACCAUUUAUAGCUGUAAUAGGAUGCAAGUUGUACCAUGUCAUUGUUGAGAUAAGUUAAUGUCCGAUAUAAAUGGAAGUUGCCUUCUUCUUUAUUUCGUAACGAAGCGAUGGUAUCCCCACAUAUCAUGUUGGCAUUGUAAGUUGUCUCUAGAUAGGCACAUCCAUCUUCCCUUUCGUUGAUACUAGGUUGUGCUUUUAGUAUUCGGAUGUAAGCAUUCAUAACCUUCACUUGCAAGUUAAACUUCUUUAGAUUGUAUUGUUGAAAUAGGAAUAUUUUUAUGUAGAGAUAUACUAACCGAAUCAUUCAGGAAUAUUUCACUGUUGAGAAGGCACUCUAGAUCCUUCUUUGUUGCUGUGUAAAAACCAAUAUCAACCAAAACUUUAUCCUGUGAUGUUGAAUUGAUGUACUGGACAGUGGACAACUCAUCUGCAUUGAUCAAAUACUCUGCGGAUAAUAGUUAGAUGAAUAAUAUUCUCUAUGUAUUGGUAAAGAAAUUCGCACGGAGUAGUACCAUUUGACGUGCUAUCAGUUGAUAGUGGUUCAUCAGGCAUCGCAACAUCUGGGAUCUCUUCUUUUUCCUUGUUCUUGGGUCGAUGACGUUUUGUGCCAAUACUGUACUCAUACUGGAUGUUUGUUUGUUGGAUGGGUUUUUUUUUGAUGAUUCGAUUGAUUCCUUGCUGUAGUUUUGUGCUUUGGUUGUGCCUUAUCCUCCUUUAUGUUGAUUUCAGGCUUGCCUAUAUGUGUGUCCGUCGCCUCAAGCACGACAUUUGUAGGUUGUACCACUGCCCUUGAUUCCUGCAAGUUAGCAACGGCUACAAAUGAUGGUAGUCGAGCUCGGAACUAAAUGAAGGUAUGCCAAAUAAUAUGGUAACAGACUUACUCGUUGUUCUUGUAUUACAUCAUCGAACCGCUUGUUAAGUGCAUUGAACCUGUCAUCAAUUUGAUUUGAUAGUAACCUGUACUGAUUGGUAAUGAACUCUUGAAGUUCCUGCAUAAUUUUGUGAUUGCUAUCAGCUUGUCCCUUGUCCAAUUGUUCUGAUGUUGUGUGGCAUUGGGGGAUUGAGCAUGAGUUGUUAUGUUUAUGUCUUGUAAUGUCAUGGACAAUCUGACAUAGAAUAGAAAGAAGGAUUUUGUUAGUAGCUGCUGGGGUUUCUAAAAAGUAAUGAGAUGGUUACUGAUGUCUGAUAUACUUUUACCUUUCCUUCCCCAAAAUGAUGGUUGCGUGCUAGUUUGCAUCGUUCUUUGGCUCUCUUUUCGUCCCAAUAUUGCAUAAGUGGUUUGUCCCCUCCAGGCUGUGCUAAUCUAGGGUACAUAUGAGACAUAGACACCUUCUCCCAAUAUUAGACCUGUAGUUAAAAAAAAUGUAGUUGUGUUUGCUGUGAAUAUAAACAUAGUGUCAUGAAUCUUUGUUCAACAUAUGGAAUGUACAUACCUGCAAAAGAACUAGAUUCCCUUUAAGGUUAGCUGCCUUUACCUCCUUGUAUUCCCGUAUGCUUCUGAUCAAAAAAUUAAGAACCAGGCUGCUCCAGUUCAGGUUCUUGAUAUUAUUAAUUUCUUCAACGAGCCCAAGAUAAUCUGAUUUGACGUAUGGCUGUAGUGUUGGGCACAAGUAGAAACCAAUGGUGUACAGCACAAAUAUGCGAAUAAAGUCAUCACCAUAGGUUUUGUUCUUGCUUAAAUAUUCCCUCAACUCCGAUGAAUGAAUUUUAGUAGAAUCAUUCCAUGUGUACUUGUAAAACAGACCAGGUACAUGUUUUUUUGGAGGCUCCUUUAUUUCAUCGCCUUGGGAUGGAAGGCCUAGUAUAUGAUCAACAUCUUUGAUGGAUAUUUUCACCUUGUUUUCUUGAAUGUUGAAUUCUUCUUUGUCUAAGUAGAAACUGUCCGCAAUCUCCUUGCAUAGCUCGCGUCGAAUCUCUAUGUCCUUAAGCUUAAGUAAAGAACCAAAUCCUGCUUUCUCAACAGCAUCCUUUUCUUCUUGGUUGAACACGCUUAUAAUCUCUACUAGUAAUUUCUGCGAGCAUUUACAUGUACCCUGAAGGAAAAUAAUAAUUAGGGAUGUUUUUCUGCAGCUUAUGUGAAGUUCAGGUAUGUUUCUUGUAAUUGGUGUUGAUCUAUGUUUUUUUUUCAAUAAACAUAUUAAUAGUCUGCUAUUUCCUUUGUAGGUGUUGAAUUAAUAUUAAUGUGUAGAUGGUUUUGAUCAUCACUGCCGGGUAACAUACUCCUUAAAAAUUAUAUUCUGAUUUGGAAAAAUUAUAUAAUAACUCCCCUGUUUUCCUCAAUCUCAACAGUGGCUCAACAAUUGUUUUGGAAAAAGAAACUAUAGGAGGUUUUUUAUUCUAAUUUCUACCUUGUCUUGGUGGCACGAACACAGUAUAUUCACCCAACCUAGUGCUUUUCAGUAUGGUCGCAUAAAUUCACCCAACCUAGUGCGUAUGAGCUUAUCAGUAUGGUCGCUUGAACCUAGUGCUCCCUGUUCUAUAUGGCUGGUAACUUGCUACUGUAGUGUACAUAUCAAUGCUCUUUGCUCUUGUUUAAUCAUUACCCUCGCAUAGCAUUAGUACCAGUACUCCAAUUGCACCACUAUCUAUGUCUUGAACAAGCUCCUGCACAUCACAGUGUUGGUUAAGUCUAGAAUCGGUUUUCAAAGUAAUCUGUCUAUUUGCAGUGAGAGUUUGUAUGAAGACUAUGAGUUUGACCAGUGGCAGCUUGUAGCACUUGUUCCUUCUAAGUUGUUUUUCAUAGCAGGCAGGAAGACUUACACGGCUUGUAGAGCUUGGUUGCUUCUUGAUCUGCCUUGGUGGCUCAAAAUUGGUUGAAUGAAUCUGGUCCUGUUCAGUUUUUUUUACAUGUCAUGUCAUAUUAAUAAAACUGAUCAUAAACUUUAUCGUUGCAGAUGAGAUUGAACUUACUGGAUUGAAUGGGAGAGAUGUAAUUGGAUCAAUUAGCGCAGGUGGUGCAUGCUCCUUCUGUUGCGCAGGUGGUGUAUGGUCCUGCUCUUGUGUGUCAGGAUUGAUGGGUGGUACCGAAGAAGUAGCUCCGUCCACAUCCAUGAUGGCUGAGUUGUCUGAUGUGAAGCAAGAUGGUAAACUGCCGCUGCCUGCUGCCUUCCUGCCGCUGCAGCUGCCUUCUACCCUUCCUGGCUGCUGCAAGAUUGACAAGCCAGAGAAGGCCAAAGAUAUAAGUGCCAACCAAGUUUGUUGUCCAUGUGAGUCCGUGUGAAGCAAGAUUGUUUUUAUUAUCUAACGGCAAGUGUUAGUUUAAAUUAGGUGCUAUGAUAUCUUAACGUGUAGAGUUUAUUUAGAUUAGGCCUCACGUGAAGAGUUUGUUUAAAUUAGGACUCACGUGAAGAGUUUGUAAGCUAAUACAUGCCUCCAGCGACGGGAUAGCACAGUUUUCAACUAACAUUUUUCUGUCAAUGCUUUCCAAGCAAAUUACUGAUACCUUGUGUCCAAGAGUCUAGAAGUUACUACUGCUAGUGAUUUAGACUACGAAAAUCAAAGAGAAAGCACUGCCAAUAGUGAUCACUCUGCCCAUGGAUAGUACUCUAAGUGAUAUGGUCGUGUUGAAUAUAGUAGUAUGAUACAAAGCAUUGGUCGGAUCGUAGACGAGGUACUCAUCGGCGUAGAAGUAGUCAGGCCCCACGCACGGAAGCCGCGGCCGCGGGGGUAGGUGCGCCCACUGAUGCGUGGCUGGGUUCACCACGCAGUUCUGGAGCAACAGAAGGCUGUUGCAGUGGUCCCUGACCUCAAAGGAGUCGUAAAUCUUGGUAAGCUAAUACAUACCACUACAUGGGUCGGAUGAAGGGUACAAAUAAAUUUAUUAACGCACAUAUAAUUAAUGUACUCUAGUAGCCCAGUGGAUUAGGCGGUGGACUUUGGCUUGAAAGGGUAUGGGUUCGAUCUCCUUUACGAAUUUUUUUAAGUCACCAUUUUUUAACUUUUUUUAUUUUGCAAUAUUUAUCCUUACUUUAGUAUAUAAACACUCAGUAAUUUUUGGAAUAUUACCAUUUUUUUUUAAAUUCAUGUAAUUUCAAAAUUAUGAGCUUAAGUUCAUAUAUAUGUUACCAUUUUUUUUUGUAAAUUCAUGUAAUUUCAAAAUUAUGAGCUUAAGUUCAUAUAUAUGUUUUCCAAGGUGGCAUGUACCCAAUUUGCUCCCGACAGCUACUUGACAUGUCACUAUGUCAGUCCAAAUUGUUUGCUACCUUUGGCCUAUCAUGCAAUUGUCUAUGUACCAUGUUCCCCUACAUGGCCAUACAUGUACUCUUGAAGACCACAAGUCACAAAGCACGCGCCUUCAUCUAACACGAACAUAAUGACACAAACUACAUGGAUUAUGAAACUAUAUCAUUGUUUUUGAAUUAUGACACAAGCUAUAAGGUCAUCAUGUAAGUUUAAAAAUUGAAACAAAGUAUAUCAUUAUUUUUGAAUUAUGAAACUUAAAUUAUCACAAACUAUUUUCUUUUUUAUGUUAUCAUAAAUUAUAAACUUUUUAGAUGGUGUUACAUGCAAUAAUAUAGUAUUCUGUUUAUUUCGCCCGUACUAGGCCGAAUUGAAGAAACGGCCCGGCCCAACAACACCUCGUGCCUCUACGUACCCUACUCAUUCCGCCCUCUCGCCCCGCAUCACGCCGCCCCCGAUCCAUUCUGGAUCGCGCCGCCCCCUCGCCCCGCAUCACGCCGCCCCCGACCCGACCAACCAGCCGGCGCGGCGGCGGCGGCCACGGAGACCACGCCGCUGCAGCUGCACCCAUCCUUCCAGCAGCGCCCACUCUCGCCGCCCCCCGGACUGCGCGCCGCUACAAGAAGCUCGCCGCGCCUGCUGGUGCUGCUGCGCCGCCGUCCUUCUCCCGCUCCUUCUCGCCGCCGCCUUCGCCGGCGUCGUCUACCUCAUCUUCCGUCCCUGCGCGCCCACCUUCUCCGUCGCCUCCCGCAUCGCGCCGCCCCCUCGCCCCGCAUCGCUCGCCUGGGAGCCCGACCCCAAGCAGCAGCAGUAGCUCUGCUGCCGGCGCCGACCAGGCAGACGACUUCAGCCGGCUCCGCGCUAGCGUCCAGGACUCCACGGGCAAGGACCCUUCCCAGCUCGCCCCCCUCCUGUGUGUUAUCCCCUCCCCGGACAAGGACAAGGCCAGGAUGCUUAAUGUGUGUUUCGUGAAUUCUUUGUUUGCAGACUUGUUUGCGAUAAUGAGCAUGUAACACACUGAAUACCAGUACCACCGAAGCCACGACCAGAAACACCUACUCCAUUACCUCCUCCACUAACCCCUUCACAAAAUACCAAAAUAGGAGCAACUUAUUAAAUAGGGCUAUCUAUACAGUAGGUCAAAUAGGAUCAAGUUUUGCCAAUUCCGAAUUCAAGUACAAAAACUAAGAAGUUGGCACUUUUAACACAAGGAAAAGGGAGCCCACAUAUAAAAUCGAAAGCUGAGUUGGUGCUUGGGAAAGAUACUGGUACCUUUAGACUAGGGUCAAUAAUUCAUUAACAUUUCGAUAUUUUCCUGGCUUAAGGCUUUCACCGCAGUAUUGUCUUAUGCUUUAGCCAAGUAUAGCUCUAAAAUCUGUUUGCGAUAAUGAGCAUGUAACACACUGAAUAGCAGUACACUUAAAUUGUAGGAACUAAAACUGAAGAUAACUUUUUAAAUUGUAAGAGUCGAACUAGAUCUCAAGGGAUCCCUUCAUAGUCUGCUCCUCAUUGAAGACCGAGUUCACCAGUAUAGCUGCAAGCUUAGAUCUGAACUCAUCACCAGUAUAGAGGCAAAUCCCUUUGCCUCAUAUGGCUAAGAGACCUCGAGUGCAUGUAAUGAAAUAAAGCUCAAUCUUCCUCAUCAAAUCAAGAUUCAAGGUAGGGAGAAGGUGGAAAAAAGCGUAAGCAAAGUCACAUUGGAUCUGCUCUUGAGGGAUAUGUGGAGUUCAAAUAGAGCCAAACCAACAAAACUUUGGAAUCUCUUGAAGAAAAGAAAAGGUGUGAGGAAGAAUUUUCAGUUGAGAAGUGUGUUAAUCAAGUGGAUGCUAUGGUGCUUUGGAUCUUUUUGAAUCUGAGAUAUGCAGGAAGACAUUCAUUACAACCAAGAAUCGUAAUGUUCGAUUACUGUGGCUAAAGUAAAAAAUCAGGUGUCUCUCUUUGAAUAUGCUCAAUGUGUGGUUCAAGAAAAACAUUCUUGUCUGAUCAUGCUGACUUGAAAUGCAAGUAGGGUUGGUAUAAAUAUGAUUGAAUAGAUGAAUUUCUAAUGCUUGUGUAACCAUGUAAAAUUUUUCUUUGUGUGAACCUUCUUCUGCUAACAUGGCUAAAUUAUUUCACUUUUUUUGUUUAAUUGCAGAGCCCUUAUGGGAAGCACUACAUGAUCCGAGAGUCAGUUGCUAAGAUCCCAAAGAUAGCUUCGUUGUGCAAUCCUUACUAGCCAGUGCAAUCCAUUGUUAAUUUAUUCAACCAGCUUCUUUCCUAGGUUGUACUACUGUUGUAGAUGCAUCUAGUUAAUAUAGCUGUUAUGAUGGACGCUCCCUUCUUUGGUCUGCUAGUUCACCAGUUUUUAAGAUUUAGAAUGCCUGAAAUCAAAUGUUCAGAAACAUAUGGACUAACAGGAGAUGAAGUGGGUUCUGGGCUAGUGCUAAGAUAAAUUAAGAUACGGAGAUAAUCUAGCAUGGCACAUCAUCAUGGGAAGAUGCUGAAAGUGGGGGUUCAGACCUGAUAGGCUAGCGAGCACUUGAAAUUCCAAUGCUGAUGUCUUGUCACUCCAUAUUUUCUAGCUUUGCACUGAUUUAACAAUGGUAGGAUAAUUUUCAGAUCAGGAAAGUAGUAGGCUUAGCUGCACAGGAGGUAGCCAGCCUUAGUGCCAUGCUAGUGGGGCUCUAGCGGUUCAGUUACAAGUAUACUUCAGAAUGAAGUAUAGUGCCCGUUUGGUUCCUUUGCUUAUUUUUAAGCAAGUGUCACAUCAAUGUUUAGAUACUAAUUAGGAGUUUUAAACGUAGACUAUUUACAAAACUCAUUACAUAAGUGGAGGCUAAACAGCGAGACGAAUCUAUUAAGCCUAAUUAAUCCAUCAUUAGCAAAUGUUUACUGUAGCAACACAUUGUCAAAUCAUGGACUAAUUAGGCUUAAUAGAUUCGUCUCGCCGUUUAACCUCCACUUAUGUAAUCGGUUUUGUAAAUAAUCUACAUUUAAUACUCCUAAUUAGUAUCUAAACAUUCGAUGUGACGGGUGCUUAAAUUUAAGCAAGUGAACCAAACCAGGCUAUAGUUUACUCUGUACCAAUGCAUUAGUGAUGCGCUACUAUUUCCAUGAGAAGUAGCUACUGGUUGUAGGACUCAGGUUGUGUGCAUCAGUUACAAGUACAGUUUGUUGGUUAUUGUUCCGUUAAGUACUAAUUAUGUGCUUGUAUUAUCUGAUGCAGAAGCCCGAUGGAUCUAACUAGGAUUGACAUGGUGCUCCCGGAAGGCUAUUCUAUUUCUGUGUAAUUUGUCCUGCAUGCAUCUACUUCCAGAGCACUUGGUGGAAAGACCACAGAUAGAGUUUAAUUUUCACAGAAUUUUAAUUAUAUUUAUGUAAUGAUGAGAAAUGACCAUGUUUUUAGAACUUUUAAAAUGUAUGUAAGGGUGGAUUGCUCCUGUGCAAGAAAUGACCAUUAUUUAUUUGAUGAAGUUUUGCAUACGAACAAAAUUUCUAUUACUUGUUUCUCGAUUUUUUCUGAUUGUUUUGAGCAUUAGUUUUGCAACUAGGGAUUUGUGCCCUUGUCUGCUAAACUUACGCAGGGUAUAAGGAGGUGUUUGGAUACACCUCCUAAAGUUUAGUACCCGUCGCAUAAGAUGUUUGGAUACUAAUUAAGAGUAUUAAACAUAGACUACCUACAAAAUCUAUUGCACAGAUGGAGUCUAAUUCGCGAGACGAAUCUAUUGAGCCUAAUUAGUCCAUGAUUUGACAAUGUGCUGCUACUCAUGUGCUAAUCAUGGAUUAAUUAGGCUCAAUAGAUUCGUCUCGCGAAUUAGUAUAGAGAUUCUGCAAUUAGUUUUAUAAUUAGCUCAUGUUUAGUCCUUCUAAUUAGCAACACUCCUAAAGUUUAGCACCUCGUAUCCAAACAUCCCUGAAUCCGGGAUCUCAAGUGCCGAUAAUAUACCUCCCCACGCUAGGUUUUGCUCCCCUCCUUGCCAAAUUAGCCCUUAGGUGGAAAUAACCUUGUUGGGUCAAUCCGAGUUCAGUUAACCAAUAUCUCUGGGCUUCAGAAAGCAGAUCUCUCAAACUGCAUGCUGAAAGGGCAAAUUCUGCCAGAAUUUGGGAAGAUGAAACAACUUUUCUAUUUUCAUCUUUCAGAUAAUGAACUGACAGGUUCGAUUCCUGCUUUCAUCGGUAACCUAUCUGACCUGUUUUGUUGCAUACAAAUAUGUUGACGGGCCCGAUCCCAGUCACACUUGGGAAUCUCGGCUCUUUAGGCCUUCUUAAGGGGCCCGCCUCCUUCCUCAGGUCCAAACCCCAGCCCACCGCUUCGGAUGGCAUCGGCGGCGGCCGCCGCGGAGUGGGAGGCGGCGGAGCGGAAGGUGCUGGUGGCGCGGAAGCCGUGCUUCGGGCUCCCCACCGCCUGCCCCACCAGCCUCCCCGUGCUCCUCUACCUCCGGAUGGCGCAGGUCCCCUUCGACAUCCACGUCGACACCUCCUUCCCCGACGCCGGUGAGCUCCCCGCCCGCACCCGCAGCCCUGCCCUCUCUUCCGCCCCCCCGCCCUCCAAAUUAUAUUUCUGACAUGAAAGUUACAUGCAAUAUAUUUCUGGACUUACUAACUACUCUUAAUAUCAAAACAGUUGGAAAUGUUUGGUUGGGGAGGGAUUGCUUGUAACGCUUGAAUUUGCAGAUAAAUCCAUACAGAUAGUGAGCUGUUUUCGGUAUGGUCCUUGUAAAAUGAGUCAGUUUAUCUGCAACAGGCGUAUUUAACAGUCUCUUGGUUUAAGCUGGGUGUUUGCAGUCUCAGCACACAGUGCCCAGGCUCAGCGCCCAGCAGUCCCAGCACUGUGCACGAACCUGGAUGCGCAUGAAGAUGUAGAUAGCGGUACAAGGGAAUAAAUCUGUAGAUUGCUGCGGGGAGAGUCAUACAUUGGUGUGCUAGAAUAUUUUUUGAGCCAUGUGCGAGAGGCAAUUGCUUUGCUUACACCUUAAUUUUUGAUUCCACAGAUCACAUACCAUAUGUCGAAUUCAGUGAUUGUGUGGCGUUCAACAAUGAGAAAGGAGGUGUGAUUGAGUAUCUCAAGGUGGAGAAAAUUUUGGACCUGAACUCAAAGCACCCAAGCAUUUCUCCCGUUGAUGUGCUGUCCACGAAGGCCAUGGUUUCGACCUGGCUCGCGGAUGCUUUGCAGUAUGAACUCUGGGUGGUUUCUGAUGGAAGCAUCGCGCAUGAUAUAUACUUCUCUGAUCUCCCCUGGCCCAUUGGAAAGAUACUCCAUUGGAAGAAAGCUAGAGAUGUGAAGCAACUACUGGAUAUAACGAAGCUUAAUGCUGCAGAAAAAGAAGAGGAGGUUCCUACUCCCUACUCAUUAUUUCCCUAGUCCUUUUUUUUGCCCGGGUGGCACACUAAUAGCUUGUGAUGCAAUUUUUUUUAUUUAAACAGAUAUACCAGAAGGCAAGUGCUGCAUAUGACACAUUGUCUUUGAGAUUAGGGGAUCAAGUCUUUCUAUUUGAUAAUAGGUAAGCUACUGAUCCUUACCUGUUUCACUUGAAUCGGCAUAUUUCUUUGUGCUUUUUUAUGGUUACUGUUACUGGCACUUGGAUAUUUGUCCUGAUGCGACUUUUAUGGAGCACUAAUAUUUCUAUUUCUCUUUGUGAAGCCCUACAGAUGUUGAUGCUCUUUUCCUUGGACAUGCUCUUUUUGUGCUCAAUGCAUUGCCUGUAAGUUUCCCUCCAUACUCAGAUGUACAUCCAGAUGGCAAACACCGCCUAAUGUAUAAUUGCAUAGAAACAUUGGAAACACAGAUGCCCAAUUGCACAAGCACAUUAUUUAAAAGAACUGGUGCAAAUCUCGGAUGCCUCCAGCGUUAGCAGUAGGGGAAUUAAGUUGCUUAUCUAUGCUGUGAAGAAUUUCCUUAGCUAUAACCUAAGUCCGUCCAGCAAAUGAUUCAAAACAUUCUUGACUAUGUUUUGAUAAACUUCAAGGCAUGUUCUGAUCUUACUUCUGCUUUUUAGGACACAUCUGUGCUGAGGGGCACUUUGCAGAAGCAUGAAAACUUGGUGAACUUUGUAGAGCACCACAAGAUCCAAUUGCUGGAAGACUCAUCAUCAUCAGGGUUAGGAUCAUCACCCAGUCCAUCAUCAUCAUCCCCCCCCAGGAAAAGAGCAUCUGCUGGCCAAAGUAAGCAAACUGAUCACUUUAUUCAGAUGUUCAAAAUUCAGAGAUUGGUAGUUAUAGCACGAACACUCUACUAGAUAACCUGUCGGAACAUUAAAAAUUGGAUGGUGCCAUUUUAUACCUAACUCUGCCUUACUUUAGCACCCAUUAUAAGUAUUUUUUCCUGGAGCUGCAAAUGCUUUCAGGUUGUCUUUGUUGCUUGUCAUUUUGUCGAAUUUAAUACAAUAAUGCAUUUCAUUCAAUAUUUAAUUAGGUACGGUGAAGAAACUAAGAUCUGCUUGUCUGAAAAUCAUUAUUUUUAUCUGUGCUAUUGCCAAUGGCUAUUAUAUGCACACACUGAACUGUUUAAGGCCAUCUGCAUUCUGCAGUCUACUCAUCCGCAUUUAGCCAUAAUAUUUCUGUAUGAAGUGAUGACUUAUUCCCUUCAAAAAUGCAUUUCAUUACAAAGUAAAGCAGUGGCUGCGCUAAAUAACACCCUAUUGUAUUUCCCUGAAAAAAAGCAUUUUAGCGGCCAAAAACUUUCUGUAAUCCUGGAUCAUUGGUGGCUCAAACUGUUUCUUGAUUUCAUUGAAUCAAGAAGUUGUACCAAAAGGAACUGUGUGAAACGAUGCUUAGUUAUAGGAUAGGAGUGGAAAAUCUAUAUGGUUAUACAUAGGUUGCAUAUGGGCAGAAUAAUGGUACUUGGGCUCAUCUGGCAAAAUGAUUUUCAUCAGAUAUGUUUGGGAAUAUUUGGUCAGAAUUUCAUGUCGAGGGGUUUAUCACAAUAUUUACUUUUGUACAUUUUACUUGUGUGCACUUUCAUUUGAAAAUGAGAUAAGUAAAAUGCAUUGAGGAAAUUUUGAAGUAGUGAUAGCAAGUUGCACUUGAACUUCACCUGGCUCAUUUCCCCUGUUAUCUUGGCACUUUCUUUUUGAGGGUUGUUAUCUAGGCACUUGUGCUGCUUAUAUUCUUGACUGUUUCCAGACAUCUUAUUGUCGUUUGGUGUUCUUAGGUUAUAAGCCGAAACCCAGAGCCAAGAAGGAACGGACCGAGGAGGAAAAGAAAUUCAGGCAAAGAUCAAAGUACUUCCUGGCCGCACAGCUUGUUGGAGUCCUCGUGUUCCUAUCACUGAUGGGUGGGGCUGAUAGUUUGGAGCUAGACGAUGACGACGGCUUAGAUUAUGAAGAUUAGAUCCUCCCUAUGUUGUACUACAUGAUUCGUUUCAAGCCCAGCCUACACCCUUGUUGGGUGCUGUGAAAAUUUGUUCCCACCGUCAGUGAGAUGUGAUGCACUUGAUACUGUAACUAUGAAUACACCGAGUUUGUGGGCCUUGGUCGGCUUCAUAAUCUGGGCCCACCGUGCCCCUCUUUUUUUUGUGUGGCUUAAGUGAAUCCAACUGUAAGCAGAUUCGAAUUUUGGAGCUUUGGAGAUGCUUCUUUGACACAUGUCGAAUCUGUUGGUCUGAACUUCUGUCCAGUCAAUAUUACUGGUUUGCAAAAUAAAGGUUGCUCUGGCAGUACCUUGCUUUUGAGUUGUGAAGUUCAAUUUAGUCUCGUGUUCGGAUAUGGAGACGUGGGAUGGAGUGCUUUUCACGAGCCUGAUUCCGAGUCGACCAAGGGUUUCCCGCGAAAGCUCGCGCGCGCCAGGGUUUCCGAUCGCCGAAGCGUCUUCACGCCGGCUGUUAGCUGCUUUGCUGAGAGUACAAGAGCUCUCUUGAGACUACGCGCGUUGCUUGUACAUGUCAACCAGCAAUGUCCAGCAUGGCGCUGCGUUGUCUGCUCCGACGCAUUCCCGGCGGUCCCCUCCUGCCGCGCGUAGGGCGCGGUGUUCCGGCGCUGCCGGCCUCUCCGUCCCUGAGCACCAUAUCUCAGGUCCACCCAUCCUACACCUUUCUCGAGGGGGGGGGGGGGGGGGGGGGGGGGCUUCGAUUUUUUCCCCUAUAUAGGCCAUCUUAAUACGUGUCUGUGGAACGAGGGAUCCUAAUGUCAAAGUCGUCGUUUGUUUGUUUGUCGAUCACAUAUGCAAACCAUAAAAUCUUUCUUCCGUCAAUUGUUAUUAUCCUUAAUCUAUUAUUAUUAAGGGAAGUGUUAAAAAAAAGCACGUUGUUCGUCGAGAGGAUCUAGAAAUUAUUACGUCAAUCGAAAAAUGAGAAAAAUAUAUACACUAUUAAAUUUUGUGAUGAUCUAAACGAUCUGAAGUAGCAGAAAGAGUUAAUGUCAAAUGCAAUUAAUAAUUUUAAUCGGUAGAAAGAAAAGGGAACAACACAUGCCAUAGAUUUUGAUGAUCCAUAUUAUAAUGGUUAGGAAUUAGGAUUAAUCAUAUAUGCAUUAGAAUCCACUAUGAAUACAAUUCCAAUUUUACAUGCAAAGAGAUUAGAGGUGUGAAUUAGGACCUACUAAAUGACAAUUGCUAAAGUCCUACCCGACAUGCGACAUGUGGAAAUCCUAUUUUACAGGCAGCACAGUGCCCUGCUCCCAUUGCUAUAUCUGUUUCUCUGUCGCACGGGAAGUCUCUACACUGACUAGUGACUUAACUGCUGUUUGUUUGUGAGGGCUUCUUCUAAAACGAUUUUACUGGUGAGCUAAAAAUAGUGGUUUCAUCCAGCUUCUAGUUUAUUUUAGCUCCGGCUUACAAAACAGCUUCACGCUAUAGUACCUCGAUUUGCCCAAAACAGAUGAAGCCGAAUUCGAAACAAACCGUGCUAAAGAGAGCAUAGUUCUGACUUGGAAAUAAACAAGGAGACGAGUGCCGUGAGGUCGCAGCAGGAACAUGAUGGGUAUUUAUAGGCUGUAGCUUUUCUACUGUGUCUUUGGAAAGGAUAGCUGUCUACUGUGGAAGUAUGACAGGGAGUUGCUUGGAUGCAACGGCCAACGGGUGUGUACCUGCCGAACUCUGUUACGAGCCAUCCCGUCGUCAGGCAACUGAAGAGCAGGCCGCUUGAAGAAGGUGAUGGAGAGCUGGGAGUGGAUGGCACAAACUUCUUGGACAGAAAGGGUCGUUGGAGCUUGGAAGUAGUGCUUUUGUUCUCCGUCACAUGUGCUGACCAUAAAAUCUAUCUUCCGUCAAUUAUCGUUAAUUGAUUAUUAUCGUAGUAAAUACUACUUCACAUUGACUUUUGGUCACGACGUUUGACCAUUCAUCUUAUUCAAAAAAUUAUGUAAGUUUCAUUUAUUUUGUUUGUGGUUUACUUUACCAUCAAAAGUAUUUUAACACCAAUUUAUUUUUUUGAUAAUAAUUUUUUAAUAAGAUGAAUGGUCAAAUGUUGUAAGAAAAAGUCAACAACGAUAAAUAUUCCGAUACAUCUAAAAAAUUAUCACGCCAAUCGAAAAAGAAAAAAUAUGCACUAUUGGAUUUAUGCUAGUCUAACGGCUUAGACUAACCAAAAGAGUCAAUAUUGGACAAUUGAUAAUUUUAAUAGGUAGAAAAAAGGAAUAACAGAUGCCGUUGAUUUUGAUGAUCCAUAUUACAAUAGUUAGGAUCGAUCAUAUAUGCAUUAGAAUCCACUAUUAAUACAACUCCACUUUCACACGCAAAGAGAUUAGAGGUGUAACUGAAUUAGAGCCUACUAAAUGACAGUUGCGAAAGUCCUAGCCGUGCAGCGAAUACAAAUUAAGGAGAAGAGUACCCUGUUGGACCAUGCACACGUUCUUUCCUAAGAACGAAAAAAUAAAAGAGGUGGAACAUGAAGAGCCUGAGGUGGAAUUUGUGGAAUUGUCUAAAGAACCUCAAAAUUUCGAGGUUAUUGAACUUGCUCGUGUUAUUGAAGGAUCAAAAAGCUAACUGUCGGAUUUAUAAGCCCGGCAGUCCACCAGGAGGUUACCCAAGUGGUUGAUUUGUAGGUGGAGGUGGUUGUGAGACAAGAACUCGAAGGUGAUCGCGUGAACACAAGCGACACGAGGGUUUUAGAUAGGUUCGAGCCUCCAGAGAGUAAUACCCUGUGUCAUGUAUGCUUGGUGGCUUCUAUUGCUUGAAGGUUCAGAAGCCCUCGAAAGGCUCCAAUGCUCGGAUCAAUGCCCUCGGGAGGCUCCCUUGGUCGCCUUAUAUAGGCUGACGACCUAGGGUUACAAAUCGGUUUGAAUCUAAUCUACUUGAUUGUUACAUGGAAAGCAAUAUGAGUCGGAUUGCAAUAUGUAUCCCGCAAUAUCUGGGCUGAUUUGAAUCGCACGGCCUCCUUGACUUGUGCUCCAUGUAUCUUCAUAUCCUUAGCCCGCACGCCCUGGUCAGGUGGGCCCACUUGUCAGGUCCGGCUAGUAUCCUGGUUGGUAGGGACCUAUGGGGUACCCAUAUCCCUUAAGCCCCCAAGCGAUGUGUAGACGAAUAGGAACCUGAGGUCAUUGCAACGAAGCUUGAAAUGUGGUCGGCUAAAGCUGCGAUGGCGUUACAGUGACGGAGAGGUUGCUCAGUGCUCAAAAAAGAAGAAAAAUCGAGCGAAUGCAGAGCCAUCCAUGUAGAGCGAAGUCGAGGGCCAAGUUGAUAGAUGCCGGGCAUCCAACAGGUCAAAACGAAGGACAUGGAGGGCGUCGCAAGACGCACUCCAUAGGAGUAGCCCUCGAGCAUUAAAGCGAUUAGUAUAAUUGGUCAAAUGGUCAAAGAAGAAAAAAUCGAUCCAGAAGAAGAUUUUAUUGCCUAAACACAAGGAUAGGCCAAGCCAUAGAGGCGCGCCAACCAGAAAUAGGAACCCAACCUCUGAGUACGAGGGCCAAUGGAGCCACAGAGGCAUGCCAAGUCGCAUCAUGCCCCAAGCCAGAGAGGUCGGUCGGGCAACGGGAGGCACGUCGAGUCAUCUGCAGCAUCCAGCCCCCGAGCCUAGAAGCACACCAAGUCGCCUCCCGCUCCGAGCCAAAAAGGUCGGUCGGGCGAUGAAAGGCACACCGAGUCAUCUGCAGCGCCCAGCCCCCGACCUAGGAGCCAGAUGAGUUGUGGAAGCACAACGAGUUGCCUCCCACCCUAAGCCAGAGAGAUCGGCCAGGCGACAGGAGGCACGCCGAGUAGUUUUUGAGCAGAAAUAGGUGCCCAGCCCCCAAGAACGAGAACUGACAGAACCAUAGAGGCGCGCUGAUCAGAAAUAGGCGCCCAGCCCUCGAGGACGAGGACUGGCAGUGCUGUAGAGGCGCGCCGACCUGGAAUAAGCGUCCAGCCCCUGAGGAUAAGGACUGGUAGAGCCGCAGAGGCACGUCGACCUGGAAUAAGCACCCCACCCCCAAGAACGAGGACUGGCAGAGCCGCAGAGGCGCGCCGACCAGAAAUAGGUGCAAGCCCCCGAGGACGAGGACUGUCAGAGCCGCAGAGGCACGCCGACCAGAAAUAGCUGCCCAGCCCCCAAGGACGAGGACUAGCAGAACCGCAGAGGCACGCUGACCUGAGAUAGGCACCCAGCCCCCAAGGACGAGGACUAGCAGAGCCGCAGAGGCGCGGCGACCAGGAAUAGGCACCCAGCCCCCGAAGGCGCGGCGACCAGGAAUAGGUGCCCAGCCCCCAAGGACGAGGACUAGCAGAGCCAUCAAGGUGCACCGACUAGGAAUAGGCGUCCAGCCCCCGAGGACGAGGACUGGCAGAACCGCCGAGGUGCGCCGACCAAGAAUAGGCGCCCAGCCCUCGAAGACGAGGACUGGCGAAGCCGUGGAGGCAUGCCGACCAGCAAUAGAUGCCCAGCCCCCAAGGACGAGGACUGGCAGAGCCGCAGAGGCGCCCAACCUGAAAUAGGUGCCCAACCCCUAAGGAUGAGGUUUGGCAGAGCUGCAGAGGCGCGCGCCGACCAGAAUUAGGCGCCUAGCCCCCAAGGACGAGGACUAGCAGAGCCGUAGAGGCGCGCCGACCACGAAUAGGCACCCAGCCCCCAAGGAUGAGGACGGGCAGAGCUACGAAGGCGCGCCGAUCAUGAAUAGGCGCCCAGUCCCCAAGGACGAGGACUGGCGAAGCCGCGGAGGCAUGCUGACCAGUAAUAGAUGCCGAGCCCCCGAGGACGAGGACUGGCAGAGCCGCGAAGGCGCACCGACUAGCAAUAGGCGCCCAGCCCCCAAGGACGAGGAUUGGCAAAGCUGCGGAGGCGCGCUGACCAGUAAUAGGCGCCCAGCCCCAAGGACGAGGACUGGCAGAGCCGUAGAGGCGCGCUGACCAGGAAUAGGCACUCAGCCCCCAAGGACAAGGACUGGUAGAGCCGCAGAGCCGUGGGGGUGAGAGACAUAGAGGUCGGCGACUGGAGGAUGAGAGACCCAAAGGUUGGCGUCUAGGGGAAGCCCCCAAGCUUCGAAGCAAGUAGACUGCGCGAAUAGGUCGGACAGUCCCUGAGUGUUAGGAACAGCUCGAGCAAGGGAAUAACAAGGCAGUAGGUACGCAAAAAAACCUUGGAGGUUUUAUUUAUUCAGUGAAAAGGGAAAAGGAGAAUACUUAGCUUGUGAAUCCUUGGAUGGAGAGCUUAUCCCAUCGAAGCAGAUCUGGCGGAGGGUUGACGAAGGAUGCCGAGUCAACAGAAGGUGCCGAGUUGAUAGAAGAAGCGACAACAUCGAAAUCCGUUGGCAUGGUACUGAAGCGAAGCUGGAUCGACUUGGCGAGGUAGUCCUUCAUUCUCUCAGGGAAGAUAACGUCGAGGCGGGAUGCCAUCGAGCUCGCUAGGGAGGAUUUCACAAUCCUCCCUAUUUGGUGCGCCAACUGUUAGAUUUAUAAGCUCGGCAGUCCACCAGGUGGUUACCCAAGUGGUUGAUUUGUAGGUGGAGGUGAUUGUGAGACCAAGAACUCGAAGGUGAUCGCAAGAACACAAGUGACACAAGGGUUUUAGACAGGUUUGGGCCUCCAGAGUGUAAUACCCUAUGAUGUAUGCUUGGUGGCUUGUAUUGCUUGAAGGUUCAGAAGCUCUCAGGAGGCUCCAAUGCUCAAAUCGAUGCCCUCGGGAGGCUCCCUUGGCCGCUUUAUAUAAGCUGAUGACCUAGGGUUACAAGUCGGUUUGAAUCUAAUCUAUUUGGUUGUUACAUGGAAAACAAUCUGAGUUAGAUUGGAAUACGUAUCCCGCAAUAUCCGGGCUGAUUUGAAUCGUCCAGCCUCCUUAACUUGUGCUCCAAGUAUCUUCAUAUCCUUAGCCCGCACGCCCUGGUCGGGCGGGCUCACUUGUUAGGUCCGCCAGUAUCCUAGUCGGUAGGGACCCAUGGGGUACCCAUAUACCUCACUAACCUUUUCGAGAUCCAAGGCAAGCCCCGGAGCAUCUACUCCUAUUAUUUUUGGAGUCUUAUAUUCACAUGUCCAAAUUAUUGGUUAUUUCUCUAUUUAUGCAUUAAGUCUAGGAAUUGAUUGAAACCUUAAUUUUAUGCACAAUCCCACCUUGUUUGUUAGGACAUCUUUGCCACCUGCUCAAAACAACUAGUAAUGUCCUAAGCUUAGCAUUGCUUAGAAUCUAUCCUUACAGUAACUUUUUUAGCUCAUUAACUUAAGGUAAUCAUGUUCAUACACGUUGGAUCAAGGAAAUGGUCUGAUUUUUGAAAAUCGUGGAUAGAAGCUAGAGAUGAUAGCUGUCUACUGAGAUUAAUGAAUUAAGGCCCGUUCAUUGUCUUAAUCUUUGAUCAGUCUUAAUCUUUGAUCAAGUGAUUUUACCUGGUUGUUUAUUAGGAUAGGAACCAGCAAACUCAGUGGGUUAGUUGGCUCAUUGAUAAGAAAUGCUCUUACCCAUGCUUGGCGUGUGGCAGAAAGGUGGGGACGUAGCCUGAAACUCACAUGGAGAUCAGGCCAGAUGUGGGGUCCCAUGUGGAGAUGUGUUCUCGGGUUCGGGUAAUUAUAUUUCCAAUCUUUGGGUACGGCUAAUCGAAAGGUCGUUAUGCACAACCCGAUCAGUUGUGCAUGGCUAGUGAUUAGGUAUCUCCUGCAGGAUGUAAAUCAGUCCAAAUCACCGCAAUUCUCGGUUAUGAAUGCACUUGAUCAUCGAUUAAGCAUCGUAGAGUAAACAAAUUUAAUAUGAUGUUUUUCCUUGAAUUAAUACUUUUGUAUGAUGUUCUAAACAACUUGUAUGCGCAAAUGAUUUAUAAAUCUAGAUUGGUUAGGUAAACAUAAAUGGUCAAUAAGAUCACAAAACUAAGGUUUCACUAAUAGUAAGUUUUUUGCAAAAUGUUGAGUCAGCUAGUCCACUAAAAAGCUAUCAUACUCCUUAAAAUUUUAUUUUAUGCAUACUGGUUAGACGGGUCAGUCUUGCUGAGUACCUUCGUACUCAAGGGAUCCUCUUUUGUUGUUUCCAGACGUGCAGCAGCAGCCUACCAAAGAGAAAGGCCCAAAGAACUAGGUAUUCUACGAGUCUCAUAAUGCCCUAGUGUUGGACUUAGUUAUUUAAUUACUUUACUUCCCAAGCUUGUUUUAGUUUAAAAUUCUUAGAAUGGUUUGACUUGCACUUUAAAUUUGUUUCAACCUACGGUUUGUAAUAAUUCGUACCUUCAGUAUUUAUGUAAAAAGGUAAUGUUUGUUGAUGCUUUCCCUUCCCGGAAGCGAUCCUGAUAUGUGGCUAAGAAUCAAGUCGUAUGUGGAUGAUUUGGGUUGUCCUGGGGACACUCGAUGGACUACCAGAUUUAAAUGGUUUUAAGUGCAUUAUGAAUAAUUUCUACUCCACCAGUGAUUAGGCGCACUUAAGCCAGUUUAAGUCGGACGGUUCCGCCACAAGGGGGAGGCUUUAUUGACUUCAUGUCAUAUCCUGAAUAGAGUUUCGAACAAGAAUAAAGAGCAAAUUCAAUAUGAGAUUUGGGUUGGGAGAAAACUAUCACUUUCUUAUUUACGCACUUGGGGGUGCUUGGCAAAAGUUAAUGUACCAAUUUUUAAGAAGCGCAAGUUUGGACCUAAGAUAGUGGAUUGUGUCUUUCUAGGAUAUGCUUAGAGGAGCAUUUCUUAUAGAUUUUUAGUAGUUAAAUCAGAGGUACCUGAUAUGCAUGUUGAUACUAUUAUGGAGUCUUGUGAUGCAACAUUUUUUGAGAAUAAUUUUUCCAUGAAAGAUAUUCAUAGCACUUCUAGAUUUUCCUCUAAGAUAAUUUCUGAACCAAUUGCAUCUAUUGAAUCUUCUGAACAAUUUGAUGAGCAUGAGGAGGUCAUUGAGAAGGAUGACAGUGAGGCUCCUAGAAGGAGUAAGAGACAAAGGACUGCAAAAUCCUUUGGUGAUGAUUUCACUGUGUACCUUGUGGAUGAUACACCCAACUCCAUUGCUGAGGCAUUUGCAUCUCCAGAUGCAAAUGAUCGGAAAGAAGCUUUCCAUAAUGAGAUGGACUCGAUUCUUUCUAAUGGAACCUAUAAGCUCACUUAACGACCCUAUGGCUGCAAACUAGUCGGUUGUAAAUGGGUGUUCAAGGAGAAGCUUAGGCCUAAUGGUACUAUUGAGAAGUACAAGGCAUUGCUUGUGGCCAAAGGCUACAGACAAAAAGAAGGCAAAGAUUUCUUUGAUACUUACUCACUUUCGCUAGACUAAUCAUAAUUAGAAUACUACUUUCUUUGGCUACCUCAUAUGGUCUUAUUGUCCAUCAAAUGGACGUAAAGACAGCUUUUCUAAAUGGAGAGUUGGAUGAGGAGAUCUAUAUAGAUCAGCCUGAUGGAUUUGUGGUGAAGGGUCAAGAAAGUAAGGUGUGUAAGUUAUUAAAGUCUUUGUAUGGGCUGAAACAGGCGCCUAAACAAUGGCAUGAGAAAUUUGAUAGAACUUUAACUUCUACGGGCUUUGUCAUAAAUAAGGCUGAUAGAUGUGUGUACUAUCGCCAUGGUGGGGGUGAAAGAGUUAUAUUAUGCUUGUAUGUGGACGACAUACUAAUCUUUGGCAAUAUUGAUGUGAUCAAUGAGGUCAAGUGUUUUUUAUCAAAGAGUUUAGAUAUGAAAGAUCUAGGAGAAGCUGAUGUUAUUCUGAACAUUAAAUUGAUUAAGGAUGAGAAUGGAAUUACUCUUUCGUAAUCCCAUUAUGUGGAGAAGAUCUUGAUCCGUUUUGGCUACAUGGACAGCAAGGCUUCUCCAACUCCUUAUGAUCCUAGUGUGAUACAUCAAAAGAAUAAGAAAAUUGAGAAAGAUCAACUGAGAUACUCUUAGAUUAUCGGUUCACUCAUGUACUUAGCUAGCGCAAUGAGACCCGACAUAUCUUUUGUUGUGAGCAAAUUGAGCAGGUUCAUGUCAAACCCAGGUAUUGAUCAUUGGCAUGCACUUGAAAGGGUUAUGCACUACCUGAUAGGUACUAUGAGUUAUGGGAUUCACUAUUCUAAGCACCCUGCUAUGCUUGAGGGAUAUAGUGACUCGAACUGGAUUUCUGAUGCUGAUGAGCUUUAUGCCACGUGUGGGUUUGUGUUUACCUUCGGAGGUGGUGCAAUAUCAUGGAGGUUUUACAAGCUGACCAUUUUGACAAGGUCAACCAUGGAGGCAGAACUUACUGCUUUAGAUACAAUCACAAUUGAGGCAGAGUGGCUACGUGAGCUCUUGAUGGACUUGCCUGUGGUUGAAAAAAUAGUGCCAGCCAUUCUUAUAAAUUGUGACAAUCACACUGUGAUAGUCAAAGUGAACAGUGCUAAGGAUAAUGCGAAGUCAUCAAGACAUGUCAAGAGAUGACUGAUGUCUAUCAGGAAAUUGAGAAACUUUAAAGUAAUAAGUGUGACUUAUAUUCAAAUAGAUAAAAACUUGGUAGAUCCCUUUACAAAAGGGCUAUCACGGAAUGUGAUAGAAAGUGCAUCGAGAGAGAUGGGUAUGAGAUCUGUUUGAGUUGCUAUAGUGCUAACCCAACCUAUGUGAUUGGAAAUCUCGUGAAUUUGUAUAUGGGAAAAAUAAGCUUUUGGUUAACUGAGGGGAAUAAUUAGUUAACUCUCUCUAAGUGAAGAUGGCAAUACUCUCAAAUGCUGUGAGGCAGGAAUAUUGUAAGGCAUGUGUGCUAUAAGGCAAGUUGGCUAUAUGCCUUAAUGUGAUUCUAUUAGCUUUAAUAAGAGAAGAUGUUGUCCUAUAGAGCAUUCUUGAAAAAAAAUACCUAUAUGAGUCUGGUUGUUAAACGUCACAGUCUAUGAGAUUUGGGUGAUCUCUAGUAAGCUCAUGAAAGAGACCAGGGAGUACGACGUAUAUGCUCCACCAACGGGGAAGGCUACUAGCAGCCAAAUACUGGUCAUGAUUUAGGUGAAACUUAUUCAUACAAAACUAGCAAUUCAAGGCAUAGUCAAUUGUCAAGUUGUGGAUAAAUGUAGCUUGAAACUCUAGGUAAGAGUUCAACUUAACGGUCCUUGCUGAAACAUCGGUAUAUCAAAUAGUAGUGAGAAACAUGUAAAACAUCUAAUGGGUUUUUGAGAUCUGGUGGGGGAUUAUUAGAUAUAUGAGCUUGGCCCAUAUAAAUAAUCCUUAACAAAUCUCAAAGCUCCAUUAGUGUUAGAGGGGGUAUACCAUAUAUUAGUCUCAUAUUGCUAACGGAUAAGGGUGUGGGGUUUUCCUCCCUAUAAAUACGGACCACCCCCUCAUGGAAAAGAUGCACUAUAGGCUACUAUACGGGAAAGCGUUAGGUUUGAGUAUCCUAAGGUGGUCUAUACGAGUUAGGUUUGUGCCUCUUUUACACUGCUGCGCCGUCACUGUAGUCUUCUCCAUUCUAUUUGGGUCGGCAUGCACUAGUGAACAGGAGAGCAGGUCUCUAAAACCGGUCGUCCUUGUGAUCCUGCACCAUAAGAGGGUGAAUAAGGUUUUUGGGAAGCGCUCCGCGCGACUGCUCAAGUUCGUCACCAUGGCUUGUCCUCCGUUCAAUCUUCUUGUCGCGGCGUACCGUCGUCUUCAACACUGGCUGCUGCGAUCCGUCCGCAACACCGCUGUCAUCACGGCUUCUCGAUAUGUGUGCCGUGAUCUAAUCUUAUUUUUAAUCAUAUUUUCUAAAAUCAAGAUUAUGUUAUUCCCGUUGACUAGGAUGUUAGAGUUUUGAAUGUUAGGAUGAUCUCUUCUCACGAUUUAUUUAUUUAAAAAAUUAAUAUAGCAAUUGCCUAAUUAUCCAACAGAAGGAGCUGAAGAUAUCCGUUUAUUCCUCGUAUCAUACGUAACAUGCCAACUCCAUUUUAGAAAAUCAACUCCAUUUUAGAAAAUCCAAUUUGAAACUGCUACGUAACAUUAUGUGUCAUUUUAAACUGAUUUUUAUUGUAUAGCAUUAUGUGCCAUUCUAAACUAUACUCAUCGAGGUUUUUUUCUUAAUACCCGUAGCAACGCACGGACACGAUCUUAGUGAAACAUAAAAAAUAAAAAUCACACUUUUUGCAAUAAUUAGGAUGAAAAUAUACUUUUUCAAAAAAGGAAACAUGGCUGAGGGAUAGAGGAUGGAGCCGUUCAAGAACUGUUCCUGCGACCGACAUGAAAAAGGAGGGGGAGAAAAUGUGGCGGUGGGGUCAUUGGACUUGACCUUCAUGCUCGUAGCUUCGCCGUUCAGUAUCCAAUCCAGCCACGGACGAGUGCCGCAGUGCCUACCGUAAAAAAGAAUGCAAUUCUUGUUCUGAAAAGUCACCAAUUUUAAAUUUGAUCAAAUUCAUGCAAAAUACUACUAACAUUUAUGAUACAAAAUAAAUAUUAAUAAAUUAAUUAUGUAAUAUAUUUUCAUACUAGAUAUGAAUGUUAGUAUUUUUAUAUAAAUUUGAUCAAAUUUAAAUUUUUUGACUUCUCGAGAAGUGAGGGUUGAAUUUUUUUGGUCGAGGAAACAUGUAAGGAUAGUUUGUCAGCACUCAGCUCAGGCAAACCGAAGCAGCAGAGCAUGAACCACGUUGCCACAGGCUCCGCAGUGCUGUUCCAAUCUUCAGGCUCCGGCAGCAUGGAUCGUUCCGCGCGUGUGGCCAAACGCCAUGAAUCAUGCGUCCACGUUGACUGCUCCCUUGUUUGUUUCCUCAGCUGCCAGUUCCAUUCCACACAAAGUGUGUAGGGAUCUGGAUUCUAGUGGAUGUUAAGCGUGUGGAUACAUGAGAGAUUAGUACAUGAAAAGGCUAACUAUUUUUCGUUUCUUCUUUUUUUUUUUUUGCCAAACAUGUGCUCUAGAAUUAAUUAUUUAUUCAAAUAACUUUUGCUAGAGUAUAAUUUAUUAAGUUAACUAGAGGCCAAUCCGAAACUUACAUACGCAGGAAAAUAAAAUGUUCAAAAGAUUAUCGGUGAGGUGGCCACACAAUUUCCAUUUGGGAGAAGCCCAGUUUUUACCAUCCAACUAUCAUCGAGAUUGAUUUUAACCAUUCAACUCCUAAAACAUGAAUCAACUAUAACUAUCUUCUUUUGACCAGAUGCACUAUGAUUAUCUUUUCCUUCUAAGCAUACUCAUUCCAACCAAAAACAAUUUUGUGACAAAAGUUUGGGUGAUGCUAUUUUCCAGUCACCUAAUUUUUUAAAGAUUUUUUUCAAGCAACCAACCUUAUCCAUCUGAUGCUGCACCGACCGUCCAGAUUACUUUGUGAAUUUUUAAUCAUCUCCUUCCUCGCAUUGCAUCUCGCUACUUCUCUCCCGCAAACCUGAGUCUGAUGUUGGAUGUACGUAACUGUGAAUGCAGAUAACAUGUACGUGGAUACUAAUGCAAAAUUGUGCGUAUAGUUCACAUGCAAAUGUUUUGGUUUCCAACAAAAAGUUUGUUGCCCGUAGUAAUCUAUGAGCACAGAUAUAAGUUCCAUUUGGUAGAGCUCCGGCUCCUUAAAAAACAGCUUCAGUUUCGGCUCCUCUGGUGGAGUGACUUCUUUAGUGAAGCUAAAGAUGUUUUGGAAAAAACGUUUGAUAAAAUAGCUUCUCAAUGGCAAUGGCAAUAUGGUUAAUUUUAUGGUCACUUAAUGCUUAGAGAGGGAGGAGAAGCUAGUGAAACCACUUUUUUUCUCCUCUUUAGUGUAAGCCGUUUUAUGGCUUCUUCCCGAUUUCAACGGUGGAGCUGUUUUGAAAUUGCCCCAUUGGUAGGAUUUCACCAAAAGUUGAUGGAGAAACCUUUUGAGAAGCCCUACUCAAGAGGGGUAAUAUAACUUAUUAUGUCUACUGUAGGUUCAUUCGCAAACUUGCAUUUGCAUAGGAAAAUGUUGUAAAAAGAGAUUAGCAGUAAAGUAGUCACGCAACAAUACUUUCAUCGAUGAAUUACAAUUUUUUAUCGAAUCGCCUUUUAUUAUAUUGUUCUUCUAAGCAUACUGAUUCCAGCGAAAAACAACGUACAUUAUCCAUCUGAUACUGCACCAACUAUCCAAAUUUGUAAAUAAAAAAGUCGACCCGUCGGGGGGAAAACCUCCCCGAAGGCAUUGUAAUUAAGGUAAAAGAUAACUUCCAACUACGAAUCCAGAAAACCCUCAAAUCCUAACUUAUGCCGGUGAGGGUAUUUUUUUUUACUCCGGCCUCGUAAAUUCACUCCAAUGAGCAUCUGAAGCCCGACCUACCAGAUGCUACUCAAAUGUUGUAACCAAGUAGGUGCUACUCGAAUGCUGUAACCACUGAGCAGAGGAUCUUUUCACAGAUUUGUGAAUUGCCAAUCAUCUUCAUCCUCACAUUGCAUCUUGCUCUUCUCUCCCCGUUCAGGAUGACACUAAUCCUCAAAUCUUUUCCUUCCAUUUCGAUAUAUGUACUCAUUCUCACCACAGAUAAUUUUGUGAUGUAAGAUCCGUCGACUGCAGGCAAGAUAAUAGGCAAAAUAACCAUGAUACGUAAAAAAAAA